AUGUAACCAAACUCUAAUUUAACAAGUUAAGACUGUGAUUAUCAAAGUGUAAAGAAAGACUAGGGUUUUUGGAAUCCACCCUAAACAAUCCUACUCAUAUUUAUGAACACUCAAGUAAUGAAUUCUAGACACAUUGAUGAAGAUGUUUGCAAUCAAGAGUGGGUUUAGUGACUUAAGACACAUUGAUUCUCUCUAAGAUAAGUAAAGUGUGUGUUUAGUGCUACAAUACUUGUGUUUCCUACACAAUCAAUCUAGGUGUAUUUAGUACUUUGAUUUAAUCAUAUAAGGAAACCCAUUAAGUUUGAAAAGAAUAUGAACAUCACAAGAACCCUAAUAGUAUGGUGUUUACAUUAGGCAUUCAAGAAACCAAUUCACAUGAAUGAUUCUUACUUCAUCCAUGAGUUGCUUAGGAAAACAUGAAGAUAUAUAUAAUCCCAACAAUCUCAAUAAGCAUGGUUUCAAGGGUGAUUAAUCAAAGAAACAUACAUCAAUGAUAUAUUAAUUUAGUGAAGAGGAAUUCAUCAACAACAUCUAGAAAUCUAUAAACUCAAGGAUCAAAACAAUAUAGUAUUCAUGUUUAGGGCUUCAACCUAAGCCUUAGCUAUGGAGUUUAGUUCCUCAUACUUAUUACAAACACAUAUUCAAAAUAUAACUAGAAAGAGUUUACAGAUUUUGUAGAGAUGAAGGCACAAAAGCAUUCAAUGGUGGAACAGUUCUCCUCCUUCGUAGUCUCCUUGCUUGCCUGCUGCCCUUUUGCUCAUUUCUUUGAAUUUUAACACCUUAAGAAGGAUCCAAAUAGGUAGAAUGAGAUCCCAGAUCACCUAGGUAACACAUUAUUACCAAGUGGUGUGGUAACAAGUAGAAAAGGGAGGGUGACAUCCAAUGGAGGUAAAUGUGGUCCAAACCACAAUUCCAGAGUUAGGAUUAAUAUUGGAUCGGUAGGCCAGGCUAUACUUGUUCAAUGGAGCUCAAAUUCGGAUAUGUUGUAGUUAACAUCCAUUGGAAGAAGUUUAAGUAAAAUUUUCACCUCAUCCGAGCAUUGGAGCAUGUUGAUCCAAGGCCAAGAAUUUGACCUACGAAAAUGAGCAAAAAUAAAAUGUAUAUUCAAUAAUGCACUUUUAGCUCAUAUUUCUUCCAACUAAGGUAAAACUUACAAAAACACAAAAAAGAAGUAUAAAUCUAUAAAUUGUCAAGAACUAACUCAAAACAUUGAGUGAAUGACAUGAUAAAUCAUGUAUAAAAAAUGAACCCAACAAUAUACUGGAUGAUUGUUUACAAUGGAUGGUGCUUAAGAAAUUUGAUGAACAAUAACUUGUUGAUAUGAUUACCUGAAAGUUAUAAGAAAAAUACAACAUAAUUUGAGAGUGCAUUUGAGCAAUGUUUCAACUUGUUUUUUGAUUUGUGUUUGAUGUCUUUGUUUCUAAAACUGCAACCUUCUAUUUUGAGAAGAAAAUGCAGCUCAGGCAAGCUCGACUCAAAAUAUCCCACUCCUCAAAUUCCUUGCAUGUCUGACAUGGCCUGGUGGUUUCUUCCUCGAUCGCUAAUCCGAAAGCUUCCUUUUACCUCAAAUUUCGUGUGAGUUCCAAGGUUGACUUCACCCUGACCAAAAAGCACUCGAGUGUUCUCAUGCUAGCCGAACUUGGAACUACUAGUUGCCAACGUCACCCAUAAUACUCAGUGAUAGUGAUGUAGCACAGCCGUGGGUGUGUUAGUUUUAACACUCAGAGCAAUAGGACAGAAAAGAAUAAGAGAAACUGAAGGAAAGAAAGAUAGAAGGCAGGCAUAAAUCAGAGAGUUAAGAGAAGGUUUAAUCAAUAUUCAAAUCUGAAUUUUAAAGAACUACAUAGGGGUAUUUAUAGCAAACUAAAACCUAGAGACAAUAGGAUUAAAAUCCCCAGCUAAAACAGAAAUCCUAUUCCUAAUAAAAUAGGAAACUAGAACCUAGAGAUUAAAAUCCCCAGCUAAAACAGAAAUCCUAUUCCUAAUAAAAUAGGAAACUAGAACCUAGAGAUAAUAGGAUUAAAAUCCCCAGCUAAAACAGAAAUUCUAUUCCUAAUAAAAUAGGAAACUUAGAAAUCCUACUAGGAUUUGGAAAACUAAAGAAUAUAGGAAACUAACAAAUAAAUUAGGAAACUAAACAAUUUAGGUCCUAUGCAUCCUGCAUCAUUCUCCUCUGGUUGAAAAAACUUGACUCUGGCGAGUUUAACGACGAUGGCGCCGACUGUAGGUAUGAAUAAUAGGAGGACAAGCAUCAGUAACUUCAGCUGCUACCAAAUCAUCUUGAACUUGACGGAGAAGAGAAGGAUCAUGCUGAUGAAACUCAUCUUAAGUAAUCCAAGUAGCAUCUGUAUCCGGACGUCCCACCCAACGAACCAAAAAACGAGAAAACCCCCCAAGGGCUGAAGCCACCACUUCAUGACCUAAGACUUGUGAGAUUUGAUCCGUAGGAGCAGCAUGGGAAGCAGGCACGCGAGGAGCAGCAGGAGGAACAAUAGCAUGGGUUAUUUCAGUCGCAACAGGAGGAGUAAAAGUACCCCGGUAUGGAAACAAAUCAGAUACGUUAAAAAUGGGAUUGAUAUGAACAUCAGAAGGAAGUUCAACCAAGUAAGCAUUGGCACCCAACUUGCGAAGGAUACGAUAAGGACCCAUCGAUCGAGCAUGAAGUUUCUUAAAAGAAUGUUUGGAAAAUUGCUUAGGGCAAACACGAACCAUAACAUAAUCACCUUCUUGGAAGUCUUGAGUGCGACGAUGAGUAUUGGCAGCAAGUUGGUAUGUGUCCGUACUUAGAGAAAUUUUCUGACGAACCUCCUCAUGUAGGCGACGAAUGUGCUCAGCAAAGGUAGUUGCAGAUUCCGAAGGACGGGCAUCAAUAGGAAGGGGAGCAAGAUCAAUGGGUGGACGUGGCAUCACACCGUAAACAAUUUCGAAAGGACUUUUACCUGUAGUUCGAUUGGCAGAAUUAUUAUAAGCAAAUUCUGCUACAGGAAGAAUGAGGUCCCAAUUACCCUGCUUAUCACCGACUAAACAUCGUAAUAAAUCUCCAAGACUACGAUUAACCACUUCUGUUUGACCAUCUGUUUGAGGAUGAAAUGCCGACGAAAACUUUAAAGAAGUACCAAAGAGCUUCCACAAGGUCUUCCAAAAAUAACUAACAAACUUGACAUCACGGUCUGAAACAAUAGAAACAGGAAGCCCAUGCAGACGAAUGACCUCUUUAAAAAGUAACUUGGCCACAUAAGAAGCAUCAACAGCUUUAGAGCAAGGCAGAAAGUGAGCCAUUUUAGAGAAUCUGUCAACGACAACCAGGAUAGAAUCAUGGCCGCGUGCCGUUUUAGGAAGGCCAAGAACAAAGUCCAUGCUUAAAUCUUUCCACGGGGUAUGCGGAAUUGGCAAAGGAGUGUAUAAUCCAGUAUUUUGCUUUCUAACCUUGGCAAGCUGACAGGUGCGACAUUGGGCUAGGAUGUGAGCAACAUCUCGCUUCAAUGAAGGCCAAUAAAAUCGAUUGGCAACUAGAGUAAUGGUCUUAUCUUUACCAAAAUAUCCAGCCAGACCUCCAGCAUGUAAUUCCCACACAAGGAAAUCACGUAAAGAGGUACGGGGAAAGCAUAACUGCGUUCCACGAAAGAGAUAACCAUCCCGCAGUAGAAAAUCAACAUGAUCACGACGAUUUCCAGCCGUAACUUCCUGAAAAAUGAGACCAAAAUCUGGACAAGAAGAAUACUCAGUUUUGAUUUUAUCAAAACCCACAACUUGUGCAGUCAAUGAUUGAAGGAUAACGCCUACUCGGCUGAGUGCAUCAGCAACCUUAUUAUCAACUCCUGGGCGAUGUCGAAUCACAAAGGUGAAAAUCUUAAGAUACUCAGUCCACUUAAUAUGGCGGCUACUGACGUUACGUUGAGAAUGGAGAUACCUUAACGCUUGAUGAUCAGAAUAUAAGACAAACUCAUUUGGUAACAGAUAAUAUUGCCAAUAACGUAGCGCACGGACUAUGGCAUAGAAUUCCUUGUUGUAAGUCGAAUACUUUUGCUUUGCCUCAUUAAGCUUCUCACUAAAAUAAGCAAUAGGAUGUCCUUCCUGACUUAAGACGCCCCCAAUGCCAACACCAGAUGCGUCACAUGCUACUUCAAAAACCUUAGUCAACUCUGGAUGGCGUAGGACAGGUGCUUCUGUCAUUUUCUGUUUUAAUGCCUCAAACGCUCGAGUGGCCGCAUGAGUCCAUCGAAACUCGCCUUGCUUCAUACAGUCUGUGAUAGGAGCCAUUAUAGUACUGAAACUAGGAAUAAAACAUCGGUAAAAAGAUGCUAACCCAUGAAAGCUUCGAGUCUCGGUUAAAGUUGAAGGAAGCGGCCAAUUUACAAUGGCGUGAACUUUGUCAGGAUCAGCACUUAUGCCAGCUGCGAAAACAAUGAAUCCCAGAAAUAAAACUUGUUCUUGAAGGAAAGAACACUUCUUCAAAUUAACAAACAACUUUUCCUGUCGUAACAUAUGAAAAAUUGUUCGGAGGUGUUGCAGAUGGUCCUCUUUUAAAUGGCUAUAGAUAAGGAUAUCAUCAAAGUACACAACCAGAAACUUUCCGAUAUAAGGACGCAAAACAUGGGUCAUCACGGGCAUAAAUGUGCUAGGCGCGUUAGACAUUCCAAAUGGCAUAACAAGCCACUCAUACAAUCCAUCAGGAGUUUUGAAUGCGGUUUUCCAUUCAUCACCUUCCCUAAUACGAAUCUGAUGGUAACCGCUACGAAGGUCAAUCUUGGAAAACCAUUUGGAACCUGCCAACUCCUCCAACAUAUCCUCAAGUCGUGGAAUAGGGAAUCGAUAUUUAACUGUGAUCUUAUUAAUAGCUCUACUGUCAACACACAUUCGCCAAGAGCCAUCUUUUUUGGGAGUAAGAAGCACCGGUACAGCACAUGGGCUCAGGCUACGGCGAAUAAAUCCUUUAUCCAACAGACCUUGAAUUUGCGUGUUUAGUUCGGCACGUUCAGACGAGUUCAUGCGGUAAUGAGGAAGAUUCGGAAGUUGUGAUCUGGGGACAAGGUCGAUGGCAUGUUGAAUGUCUCUCAUGGGUGGUAGCUCGUUUGGGAGGUCAUCUGGCAUGACAUCGGAGAAUUCAUUGAGGAGUUGAUGUAGAGGUUCAGGUUGUUGAUAGGAAGGGGCCGCAGAUAUCUCUUUGAUCACGAGAGCAAAUACAACUCCUGUCUCCAAACUUUCUUUCUCAAAUUCGCCAUAAGAUAAUAGAGCCAACCGAUGACCUGACACAUUGCCUGUCUGCGAUGGAGAAGAGGUGGUAAUAUUAGUCUUGGUAGGUUUGAUCGCAGGAUUGGCUGGGCGUAACGUAAUACUUUUGCCUUCAUGUUGAAAAGUGUAUGUGUUUUCACGACCACAAUUCUGCACGCGAUGGUCAUAGAGCCAAGGUCUGCCAAGUAAUACAUGUGCAACAUUCAUAGGCAGUAGGUCCAAAUAAAUGUCUUCAUCGCAGGUCCCGAGCUUAAGGGAAACAAGACACCGCUCAGUGACUAGGAGUUUAUUUUUAUCAACCCAAGCUACGUGAAAAGGGUGGGGAUGUGGUUCGGGCUUAAGAUUAAGACGAGUAACGGCAGACUUGGAGAUGACGUUCAUGGUACUACCACUAUCAAUAACCAGUUUACAUGUUUGGUUAUUGCAUGGAACGUAGGUAUGGAAAAUACUAGUGCGUUUCUAGGAAUCAGGCAAUGCGGGUGCAGAAUAGAUACAACACAUAAUAGAAACCUGAUUGAGUAUGUCAUCAUCAAAACAAUCGUCAAUUUCUGGGUCAUACACACCCUCAAGAGGAUCCACAAUCUCUACAUCACAAUGGUCGUCUGUGCUAGCGCUGAUAGUUAAUGUGCGUUGUGGACAACGAGAGGCAAUAUGUCCUUUAGCAUGGCAAUGGAAACAUUCAAUGUGGGAAUUAUUAGAGACGAUCGGCCCUUUGGUAGGUGGCGCAGUAGGAUUAGAUGGUCCAGAAAAUUCAAUCUUCAGACCCGGAGUGGUAGUGCGGGCUUGGUUGGUGGUCGUAGGCUGACCAGGAUAUCCUGGGUAACGACAUUGUGGUCGUAAAUAGGUCUCAGCUUCCAAGGCUUGGCAAUAGGUAUCUUCUAAUACAUCCGGACGUGACCUACUCACCUCGCGUUUGAUAUCAAUCCGAAGGCCAUGAAUAAAAUGAGAAACUAUGACUGCCAACUCUUCUUGUAGGGCAGAAUGCAAUUUGUGCUCCACAAAGCGAGAAUAAUAGUCUUGGACUGUUGAAGUACCCUGGGAAAGAGUCCAUAAUUGAUCUAACAAUUGGUGACGAUAAAAAGAUGGAAGGUAUUGUUCCCGGAGUUUCAAUUUCAUCUCAUCCCAUAAAAUCACAGGGGUUUGUCCCAGUUGUUGGAGAUGAUGCUCAGUAGCCUUCCAGUACUGUUUUGCGGCUUCUACGAGUUUGAGUUUGGCGAACCGGAUCUGUUCUGCAUCGGACAUGUCGUACCAUUCAAAAUAAUCUUCCAUAGCCGAUAUCUAAUCAACAAAGAGAGUAGGAUCCCCGCGGCCAUCGAAGUCAGGGGCAGUAGGCUUGGCAUGACGGGCGAUCUCAAAAUCCAAGUUUCGGUGGACGACGUGAUGUUCGUGGGGUCGGGGUGGGAUAGUGGCAUCCACGAGAGGAGAAACUAUCGUAUGUUGGGUAUAAUGGGGUUUAGGUGCAGAUCUUGCGGAAAAAUUUGGUUCAGAGUGAACCAGAGAUGUCCCCGCCGAAGAUGAUGGAAGGCCCAGGUGGCCUUGAAACUUGGAAUCCUUAGAAGGAUUGGGAAGGAGACCAGCCUGGAGAGAAGGUGUGCAUGAACUAGAGAGAACAGCAGAUGUGGAGGAUGGUUCAAGAGUCACGGUUGAGAGGUGGGUGACGAGCAGCGUCACGGAAGCUUGUAAUUUGGCAAUAUCUGUGGACAUGGAUGAAAAUUCAGUCUUUUGAGCAGCCAUCAAUUUGGUGAACUGAGUUUCCAAAUUGGUGACAUCUGUAGAAAUUUUCGCCUUGAAUUCCUGAAAUUGGUCCGCCAAAUUGGCAACGGUGAUGUUGGGAGCCAUAACGAUUAGUAGAGGCAACGAAGCAAAGUAACAGCGGCAGAGCAAGAGGCUCUGAAUACCAAUUGAUGUAGCACAGCCGUGGGUGUGUUAGUUUUAACAUUCAGAGCAAUAGGACAGAAAAGAAUAAGAGAAGCUGAAGGAAAGAAAGAUAGAAGGCAGGCAAAAAUCAGAGAGUUAAGAGAAGGUUUAAUCAAUAUUCAAAUCUGAAUUUUAAAGAACUACAUAGGGGUAUUUAUAGCAAACUAAAACCUAGAGACAAUAGGAUUAAAAUCCCCAGCUAAAACAGAAAUCCUAUUCCUAAUAAAAUAGGAAACUAGAACCUAGAGACAAUAGGAUUAAAAUCCCCAGCUAAAACAGAAAUCCUAUUCCUAAUAAAAUAGGAAACUUAGAAAUCCUACUAGGAUUUGGAAAACUAAAGAAUAUAGGAAACUAACAAAUAAAUUAGGAAACUAAACAAUUUAGGUCCUAUGCAUCCUGCAUCAGAUAGGAUUUUAAAUUUGUAUAAUUAUUUAUCUAAUUAAUACAUAUUUAGUAUAUGGAUAUAUCUUAUAAUUAGUAUGAUAUGUUGAUUUAAAGUAAGAAAUGUUGUGUAUGAGUUGUGCUUGUUUGAUGAGCCUUUUUAUUUUAUUUUAUUUUAUUUUUCCAUUUGUUAAGGAUGAGCCUGUUUAUUGGGAGAACAAUUGUUUAGCUUUCAUAUGAGCAAUUAAGUGUCUAAUACCAAAAAAUAAAUGUGUCUGCCUCGUCAUUAUAUAAUUAUGAUUAAUAGAAUGUGUAAUUUUUCAGUGUCAUAGUCAUAUAGUCACGUGGUGUUAGAGCAUCUCCAAUGCAUAUGGUGUACAUUGGAAGUGUAAAACCACAUUUACAUUUCUUUCACACCCCGGGUAAUUUUUCCUCCAAUUGAGUGGAUGUAAACUUGCAUAUCUUGUAUAAAUUCAUUUUUGUGUUAGUUUUUGUUUUGCACUCAUUGUUUUUGUGUUUUCAUUUUUCAGUGUGAUGUUUAAUUUUUUUGUUAUUUUUUUCAAAAAAAUCGAUAUAAAAAUUUUGAUGAUCCCAAAAGAUAACAAAAAACACAAUAAAAUUUGAAAUAAGGAAGUUUUGAAGGAGAAUUGAGAGUGAUGAAGAAUGGUGAUUUGUGAACAAAGGGUCAUGGGGUAUAUAUAGAAAAUCAGAAUUUUUUUUAAAAAAAUUUAUAUGUUUUUUUUAAAAAUCCAUUUUUUUAUUUUUUAUUUUUAUAAAUUAGAACAUCACAAUUUGGCAAAACAAAAAAAAAAAGAAAAAAAGGAAAAUCACAACAUUUGCAUAUAACUGAAGAAGUGGACUCCGCAUUGGUGGAGAAAUUAUACUGUGAUACGGUACUACCACGUGGCAGUGCCAUGUGGUAGUACGGACUAAUAAAAUUAUGAUAUAUGGCAUUACUGUUAUUAGAGAGAGAGAGAGGAGUUUCAUUAGAACACUGUUAAUGCUGUUUACUCUCUUUCUCUCUUUUUUAUUUUAUUUUUAUAUUUCUUUCAAAGCAAAUAACCCUAACACGUGAAUUGUCAUUGGAGUCUGCACCAACAUUCAUAAAAUACUUCUGCAGCCAAGAAAAGGAGCCGCCCCAAAAAAAUAAAGGACUAGCCUCUGCCAAAAAUGGAUAAUGGUAAAUCAAAUCAAUCAAACAAUCCUUUACUUUAUACAGCUUUUUUUCCCCCCCUUAUUUCUGCAUGUUGUUUCCGAUUGCAGGCUAUAAUGAAACUCUUCUCUCUCUCUACUAACAGUAAUGCCAGAUGUCAUAAUUUUAUUAGUCCGUACUACCACAUGGCACUGCCACGUGGUAGUACCGUAUCACAGUAUAAUUUCUCGCAUUGGUGGCUUUGUCUACCAAGUAACCCAACAAGCGCGCGUUUGGAAGUGGGAGUUUUACUUUCUCCUCCUUUUUUACCCCACUAGCUUUCCUCUCUUGUUAUUUUCUUAGAGCAACUCCACUCAUUUGUCCUUAGCCAUGGCAAAAGGGGAGUUAGGGCAGCCACUAUUCACGUGAAUAGUGGCUGCCUUUACAAAUAGUAUUUUAUGUUUCCACCACCCGUUGCCAUGGCAAAUGGCAAUUACUAUUCAUUUUUUUGUUUUUUUCACAAAUUUUUUACCUCAAUAAUUAAUUUGGAUAAUAUUUUUGGAUAAGAUUUUCGGGUUCCUACGUGUUAAUACUAUUCAUAUCUCAUAAUCGGAUAAAAUUUUCAAUUUCAAAUUUCAGAUAAAUUUUUUUAAAAAUUGGCUGGUAUUGAUAGAAAAAAAUUCAUUAAUUUUUGGGUAUUUUUUAAAAUUUUUUCCUAAUUUUUUUUAGUAAUUUAUUGCAAAAAAAUUGGCUGCUGUUGGAUUGGAGAAAAAAAUCCGAUCGGAGAGCCCAAACGACGCCACAUGGCAACAGAAAAAAAAAUCAAAUGAAUGGGCUGACGCCAACCUGGCGUCAGCAAUGACAUCUGCCCAGCCCUCGGGCUUGAGCUCGGGCUGAACUGGCCUAAGGGCCAGCCCGACUUCGUGGGUCCUACUCCCAACCCGGGCUUGGGCUCCUCGCUGGAACUGGGUUUUUUUUCUUCUCCCCCCAGCUUCUGGCUGGGCUUGCCGCUGAAGUUGCUCUUAUGUAGUGAAUGUGGAUCAAUUUUCGUAUUUCAGACCGUUUGUGUAUAUAUACAUCCAUAUACACCUUUAGGUUGGAGUGUUUUUCAGCUGCUAGAGAUGUAAAAGUAGAAUAUACCCUAUUUACACCCCAACAAUAUGGAUGCUCUUAUUAUUUUACUUAUAUUAUAAUAUGUAUUAGUAUUGUAAAUGUAUUUCUAUUUACUAAUGAUAUAUCUUGUGUCAUGACAUCUUACCUAUGUUGUCUACUCAUGUUGUCAUACUUAAACUAAUAACAUAAUGUGACAAUGUAUCCUCACACUGUAGUAUUAAUAAUUGACACAAAUUAUUGUGCUAAUCAUCCAAUUAUAAAAUACUCACAAGUGUACUAAUCUAUUGGGGUAUAGAUUUGUAAGUACGGAGCCGAUCCUACGAGGAACUGUCGCCCUAUACAAAGUUGUAGUUUGAGUACAUAAAGAAAGAACACUUAUUUAACAAAACACAAAUGUAAAAUACAAAUUGGAAAUUAGGAAUGAGUAAAGAAAAGUAAAAGAAAUGAAACAAAACAAGAACCCAAAGAUAAACACAAUUAGCACUUUCUAUCACCCAUUUGUCAUCGUUGUAUCACCAUUGCUAUGUAUCACCAGUUUAUCACAUUUUAGCAAGAGACGAAUUUAUGAACUUCUUCUGUUUUCCAGUUUCGACCUCUGUCCCAUUUUGGACCUGUAACUUUCCAACCGUUAAUCCAAAUUUUAUGUUCUUUAUAUGGUGGGUUCCAGUAUAGAAAAAUAAUGAACCCAAUGCAGGUCAAAUAUCAAAAAUAGAUACAAAAGUGAGCAAAAUUCAGUAGAAACAAACACACAACGUUUCAAACAACACACACAAAACAAAAGGGGGUGGGGGGUUUUAUUCAAGUGAACUAAUUUUAAUGCUUAAAAUGUAACCAAACACAAAUUUUAACAACAUUGAUAAAAAUGAAUAUCAAAAUGUGGCUUACAAUGAUGAGAAACACUAGGGUUUUUGGAAUCCACUCUAAACCAUCCUACUCAAGUUAUGAACUCUAAAUGUGUUGAUGAAGAUGUUUGCAAUCAAGACUGGGUCUAGUGGCUCAAGAUGCAUUGAUUCUCUCUAGUAUAAGUAAACUGUGGGUCUAGUGCUACAAUACUCGUGCUUUCCAUAUAAUAUAUCAAUCAAGGUGUACUUAGUACUUCGAUUUAAUUACACAGAAAACUCAUUAAGUUCAAAGAGAAUAUGAACAUCACAAGAACCCUAAUAGUAUGAUGUUUACAUUAGGCAUUCAAGAAACUAAUUUACAUGGAUAAUUCUUACUUCAUCUAUUUGUUGCUUAGGAAAACCUGAGGGUACAUAUAAUCCCAACAAUCUCAAGAAGCAUGCUUUCAAAAGUGAUCAAUCAAAGAAAAACAUAUAUCAAUGAUAGAUUAUUUUAGUGAAUGGGAAUUCAUCAACAACAUCUAGAAAUUCAUAAACUCAAGCAUCAAAACAAUAGAGUAAUCAUGUUUUGGGCUUCAACCUAAGCCCUAGAUAUGGAGUUUAGCUCCUCAUGUUCAUAGUAAACACAAGUUCAAAUACAAUUAGGAAGCGUUUACAAAUUUUGUGAAGAAGAUGAAAGCACAAGGUCUUCAAUGAUGGAGUGACUUCUUCUCCUAUUUGGUAUCCUCUUUCUUGCUUGGUUGCACCUUUGCUCUCCUUUCUCUAGCUCCAAUCUCAGAAAUUCCAAAAGUGUUGACAAUGUGUGGAAUGAUUCAGCAGAAACCCUCUCUCUCUCUCUCUCUCUCUCUCUCUCUCUCUCUCUCUCUCUCUCUCUCUCUCUCUCUCUCUCCAACUCACCAAUCCAUAGGAUACUCCACCUUUUCCUAAAGUCUUUGAAAAUUUUGAUGAUAAGGCUAAAUUGACUAUUUAUCCGGAUGCUAAAUUGGGUGAAAAAUUAGUUAGGAGAGUGAAGUUCGAUUGGGGCGAUAGUUCGGGGGAUAAAAACAACUAAAAAUCCUUGAAAAUUAUCUAUAAGUUUAUGGGCAAAUCACCAAUUAACCCUAAAAAAUUAUUACUUCAAAGGCUUGAGGCCUUCUUUUUUAUGUUAUUUAUUUCACAUUUCUAACAAGGGUAUAAUUGAAAAAUUAAACAAAGUUUGCUUUCCAAUCCUAUACAAAUCAAACGUGGAAAAGAAAAUAAAGUGGUAUUUCCUUAUUACUUUCUAUCAUUAUCAAACAUGAGAAAUAAAUCUUCCAUUUCUCAUCUAUAAAAAAAAAAACAUUGAAAAUGUUUCUCAUCAAAUACUUUCCAUGGUGGGAGGCCCGAAAGUGUAUACUUACUUGUUUAUGUUUUUAUUUAUCAAUUUCGGAUUUAGGGAAAUAAAAUAAACAAAUGAGGCUGAAAUGCUUAGGCCCAUUCUUUCUAUAUGGAAUGUAGUCCCAGCCCAACAAGGGAUAAGGAUAUUAGAUAACAUCUGAACGGAAAAGAAGAGCUCUCCGGACUCUCCAUUGAUGGAGGUCCUCGCCAGCUCUGCAACUGCUUCUUCAUGCCCUCAUUUCAUAAUCUCCAACAUGUACAAGAACCCUAACUCCGCCUCCAUGGCUACCACUCCUCAGGUACUCUCUCUCUCAUUGAUUUCUAUCUGGUUGACGGCUCAUUUUAGCUCUCUUUCAGCGGGCAUGACCAGCAAUUAUGAAAUUAGAGAACAGCUUAAUUGUCAGUUUAUUCUCUAUUCAUAAAAUUCAAACCUUUUGCUUUCUUCUUUCUUUGGGUCAAAUUGUCUUGAACGCUGAAUAUUUUUGCACUUGGCUUGCUUUGCUUUACAACAUGUUACGUCUAAACAACUGAGUAUAGUUUUCAUUACUUUGACUCAUUUUGACAGGAAAGGCAUUUAAUUUCCUGAUCAUUUUUGCUACAUUAUGGCAUUUAGAUUGCUUUCCCUCAAGUUAGAACAAAAAGUGAAAUCCAUUCAGGUAGUUGGUAAUAUCUUGUAAUAGUCACAAUUUUAUGUUGGAAAUGAAUCCAAAAGAGGCCUAGUGUCUUCUGAAAGAUUUAAGAUACUGCUCUAUAAUGUAUGCUGAGCGCUAUCUAAUUGUAAUGGUAACUCCAUCAAUUUAUAAUUUUCAAUUGGACUCUUUGCAGUUGCUGCAACGGAAGUAUGCACCAGUAAGGAUUGUAGAAGCUCGAGCAAAGGCUCCCUUAAUGUAUUUGAAGAUUACAUCCUUUAAGAGACUAUUAAAUUAUGGUAAUACGGAUAGGGCCUUGCUUUUACCGAUAUGCAGGCUCAACCAGAGUUUCUUUUCUCAGUGUAGUUUGUUUUCAGUACGCUAUAGUAAGCUCAAGAAAAAACUUCGAUUGAAGAAAUAUGCUGGCAGUCUCCAUAAAGUGAUAAGUUAUUCAGAAAAAAUUGGACAUCAUGCUUUUGUUCGAUUCGUUGUUGCACUGAUGGUGGUCAUGUCAGUUUCUGUUUCCGUUAGCGAGAGUCCAUCAUGUAAGUUUACUUUUUAUGGUAAUGCAGUAGUGAGAGCCACAAAUUGUGCAAUGGUGAGAGAAUUUACUUCUUGUUCUUUUAUUUACUUGCGUAGGGGCUCUCACUGAAGAGAAUCUUCUGUUCUUAGAGGCAUGGAGGAUGAUUGACCGUGCAUAUGUUGACAAAAGUUUCAAUGGACAAAGUUGGUUUCGAUACAGAGAAAAUGCACUGCGCAAUGAGCCGAUGAACACGCGAGAAGAGACAUGUACGGAUUCCAUCCUUUUAGUAGUCACUACAUACUGUAUUUUCCUACAUCUUCCUAUAUUAAAAAUAGUUUGAAAUAAUCCAAGGCUGUUCUUUAAAAGGACACCUCUAUAAGGUUCCUUGGAAUUCAAUUAAUAAAUAGUUUUGUACUAUAGACUUCUGCACAUACUACCAUAUGUGACUUGAAACAUGUUGGGAUUAUUUGGUUCUUCCGACCCCUUGGUUGCAGAAACUUUAUGACGAUCUCUAAUGUCUGCUCCAAAUAGAGUACUUUUAAUUUCAUUGUUCCAGCUUGAGAGUUUUCAAGAUUUACUGAUCAUAGCGUACCAAAGCCUCAAUUCACUUGCCAGGUGGGAGAUAUCACCAAAAACUCUAAAAUAAGAUGCCAUAAUAAAAGCAGCACAACUUUUAUAAGAAGAAAAUAUAAGAAUUAAGGCUGAGCUGAAAAACUUUGCAACUUCAAAGGACUGGUCCAUGAACUUCCGUUUUCUUCAAGAAGCAGUAGAUUUGGGCUUGAAAUAUGCCAACUAUUUUGGGCCAUCCCCAGGGGUUAGCCUGGUAAUUAUCCAGUACAUGUAGGAUGGGGGGCUACACAUACCUGGAAAAUAGUCAGGUACUAAAAAAUAUGUGGCUACCUCAUGAAGAUGAAGCCAAAAUUUUAAAAAGAAGCGAAAUGAGUAAUAAGGUAGGUGAGUUGUCAUGUAAAUUGUUUCAAUAUUGCAUAGUGUUAUAUUAUUAAGCUGUAUUUGGGUGCUUAUCAAUAUGAAUAAACUUCAUCCCUGUUAGUGUACUUCAUUUAGUUGAAAGUACUAUAUUGUCUUUCCAGUUUCCCCAACUAAAUCCUAAUGGCGUAUUUACAAUCAGAUAUGGCAAUAAAGAAGAUGCUUGCCACAUUGGAGGAUCCUUUCACUCGAUUUCUGGAACCUGAAAAGUUAAAGAGUCUACGGGUACAAGGAUUUAUCUUCUUAUGGUCUUAGUGUAUUGCAUUUUGGCCUGAAUAAUAAUGUGACACUCUAUUAGAUACCACAUUAAAUACAAUCUCUACCUGUUAGUUUUAGAUAGCAUUUCUUCAGUGAAAUUUCAAUAUAGAUACUGUCCCUAAAAUCUGUUUAUAUCUUCUUUGAAGGCAGUCUGGGACUCAAGGUGCUCUUACAGGCGUAGGGCUGUCAAUUGGCUACCCUACAAAAUUUGAUGGAUCACCUGCUGGUCUUCUUGUUAUUUCAGCUUCUCCAGGAGGUCCAGCAAACAAGGCUGGCAUCUUGUCUGGGGAUGUUAUUCUUGCAAUUGAUGAUACAAGUACAGAAACAAUGGGUGUAUAUGAUGCAGCAGAGCGGUUACAGUAAGUUUCUUACCCACUUAACCUGUUGAAUUAGAUUUCGCCUCAAAUAAUUAGGUUCUAAUAAGGAAAUGCAAUUAUAACAUGGCUUACAAUAGUAUGUAUUUCAUUUGCAAUUUAUCAUUGAAAUAUUCCUUUAUUUUAUCUGACAUGGACAUACGCAAAAGACACUGUAGUUUUCCUGUCAAUUUCUUUCUGAUCUUGCUGAUAGUUGUUUAUUUGUUUCUUAGUUUUGAACUGUGGAAAAUAAAAUUUACCAAGUGACAGUUAUAAAUUGUGCUAAAAGUUUGUUAUGCUAUCUAAUGGCUAUAUUACUAACUACCCAUCAAGUACUAGGAUAUUUAUUUGUGGAUCAGUCACCAAAUCUGUAGUUGAAAGCCAUAUCAGUUAACUUUCUGGAGAAGCUCGCUAUCUUGAGGUCUUUGAAUUUUUGAGUGCCAUUGUCCGAUUCCUUGUAAUUGAAAUAAGUUGUUUCAGAAUCAGGACUUCUCUUUCCCAUUAAAUUCAUUUAUUUAUUUAUAACACAUUUUUCCUACUUGUAUAGGGGAUCUGAAGGAAGUUCAGUGAAAUUGACCGUUCGUAGUGGACCUGAAAUAAAGCACCUGGAUUUGAUGUAGGUUCAGUUCUUCAUUAAUCCCUUCAGAAAGCCUGUUAUCUCAUUAUACAGGGAAUUAUUUUUUCUUUUCUUCUCAAGGAAAUACAAUUUUGCAUUCCCAAAAGUGUUUGAAGAUUUAUUGCUUUGAUAAAAUUAAGCUGAAAAAGCUUCAAUAUUGAUAUUCAGUUCAUGGUGACAUUUUAAAAAUGCUUUUGGGCUGGUUGUCAUUGUGGCUGGAAAUUGAGCUCAGUGUUUAACCAAAGUCAUCGUAUUCGCUUUGACACUUGAGCAACUUCUAGGGGUUAGCACUUAGGAGCGGGGUGAAUUUUCUUUUUUUUAAAAUUAUCUUUUGUCUGAAUCUUCUGUCCUUUCUUUUUCAUUAUUUAAAAUACUUUAAAUUACUUUUUGCUGCCUUUAGGCGGGAGAAAGUUUCACUGAAUCCAGUAACAUCAAGACUAUGUGCGAUGCCUGCUUCGGGAAAGGAUUCCCUUAGGAUUGGCUAUAUCAAACUAACAUCGUUCAAUCAAAAUGCAUCUGGUAAGCUGAACUAGUAGCUGUUAUCGGUUAGGUUUUUCAAGGAGUGGUACCUAAAUCAAAUAUAUAUAUAUAUAUAUAUAUAUUUAAUAAAUAAGUUAGGAAAUGUAUUUCUAUUCAUAAAAGCAAGGUCUAUUUUUCUAGUUUAUUUACAGAAAUUAUAUAAGUUGUGUCUCAUGUGGCAGAACUCAGAAUUUUACUGUGUUGUUUUGAUCAAUUAUGUUCUCAAUUCCCCUACCAUUGAUAGACGAAUUUGGCUCUCCUGUGUAUGGUUUUCAAGGAACAUUGUUCAUUUUGUUUAGAAUUUUAUUGACUUAUUCUUUCACAAUCUCAUUUAGUAAUUUGAAAUGGUUUGAGCUCUUUUUGCAUUGUUUUUGGUUUCUAUUUUCAUCCUUUAUAUAUAUAUAUAUAUAUAUAUAUAUCAGAGAGAGAGAGAGAGAGAGAGAGAGAGAGAGAGUAGAUAGAAUGUGUUCUCAUUAUUAUUUAAACCAUUAUAUCUGUUCUCUCUGCUCUCUCCCUUGCCUCUCUCCUCUUUUUAAUUAAAAGAACACAGAUUUAAAGCAUUACCAAAGGAGCUCAUACUUCUGAGUGUCAAUUUCUGCAAUUUGGUUUAACAACUUGCAUGCUGUGUAGGUGCUGUCAAGGAAGCAAUUAAUACUCUAAGGACUAAUAAUGUUAAUGCCUUUGUGUUGGAUCUUCGAGACAAUAGGUGAUUAUCUUUCAACCUUGGUCUUGUAAACUUUGCCCUUUGGCAGGCUUUCUGAAUGCUCAAGUUUUCUUAAAUUUGGUGCAGUGGUGGUCUUUUUCCAGAAGGAAUUGAAAUUGCCAAGAUUUGGUAAGUUACACUAGAGAAUUGUGGCAAACUUAAUACUGCAUGCCUUUAAGUCUUACACUUUCGUGGUGCCUUUCGAAGUUGUAUAUGUUAGCAUUCAUUUUGUAUGCACAUGAAGGUUUUGAACUCGUAUUUCAUAUGCACAAAUACAAGAAACCAAUUCUCUACAAUUCAUUUCGUUGAAAGCCAUUUUAAUGCAUUAGAGCCUAAAAGGGAUUUAUGUGAUCUGCUGGGCGUGUGAGAUGUGGACGUGUAGGAUUCACACAUUUCAAGAAAUGUGGAAAGUCACGUUUUGGGAGACAGUUUAUUUCUUUUCCAAGGGUUUUCCUUUUUACUUGAGUUGUCACAUCCAUACGUCAUUGUUUUGAUUAAGCAUCAAAGUUUUGAAAGUGUGAUGUUUCAGGGUUAUGCUAUAAUAGUGUCUUUUGCAGUUAAAAACAACACAAGAUCAGUUAAUGCUGUUUGUUGGUAUGGGUUUUUUCUUUGUAUGGAACACUGGUUGCAUAAAUUGUAUCCAUGUAUAUUAAGAGAUACUGACAAAAUGAAUUUCAAGUUAAAAGCUGUAAGAAACAUGCCAACGAUUUUUAGAUUUCAUUAAGGAUUAAAAAAGAGAAGACAUGCUUCUUUCUCAUUAUUCAACCGAACGAUGUUUAUGAUUAAGUUAAGCUCAAAGUUUUGAAACUGUGAUGUUUCAGUGUUAUGCUGUAAUAGUGUCAUUUGCAGUUAAAAACAACACAAGAUCAGUAAAUGCUGUUUGUUGGUAUGGUUUUUUUUUUUUUUUCUUUUUCUGGAACAUGUGGUGGAUAAAUUGUAUCCAUGUAUAAUAAGAGAUACUGACGAAAUGAAUUUUAAGUUAAAAGUUGUAAGAAACAUGCCUAAGAUUCUUAGAUUGCAUAAAGGGUUAAAAAAGAGAAAACUUGCUUCUUUCCUCAUUAUUCAACCCAAACGAUGUUUAAGAAGAAAACCCAUUAAAGCAACCAGAUUACUACAUCAUUGCUUGAGGUCUUUUGAUUAUUAAUAUUCUAAUCUGUUAUGUUUGAUCCAAAUUUCUGCAGCACAAACUUCUAUAAUCGAGUUUCGGUUUUUUAUUUUUUAUUUUUUAAAAAGACAUUGUUAGUCUUUCAAAAUUAAGCUUACGCUGCAUUAUGUCAGGUCCAGUAUAUUCUAAGUUUUCACAAUUAGAUGCUGCCUUCCAGGUUGGACAAAGGUGUGAUUGUAUAUAUAUGUGAUAGUCGUGGUGUUCGAGAUAUAUACGACACUGAUGGAAGCAAAGCAGUGGCACCGUCAGAACCCUUGGCUGUGCUGGUAUACUUCUAUACAUUAUACAAUGAACUAGAUUUGUUCAAUUAUAUUCCGUGAUACAUAGGCAAACAUUUGCAAAUGUUAUUAUUAAUGGUGCAGAGUUGUCAUCAUUUUGACCAUCUGUCAUCAAGCUCGGGCCUGUCUCUCUAUACUGUUUAAUAGUGGACCCACUUUUUGAUUUUUGAUAUUUUAUCUUAUUAACAGAGAGCCUUGCUAUAGUUGCAUCCAUGUUUUAUUGCUUUAGAAUGUGACAUUCUUGAAAAGUGGGUAAUUUAAAUUCUAGGAUUCAUUGUUAUUUCCCUUUCUGAUUUUAAUAUUGAGUGGUGUUUUCAAGUGCUUUCCCAUGAAAUAUUAUCUUUAAAGAAUUGUGUGGUCAAAAAUUGGUGUAUGUAUCUUCUGAGAUUUCUUCAGGUGAAUAAGGGCACAGCUAGUGCAAGUGAAAUAUUAGCCGGGGCAUUGAAAGACAAUAAACGUGCGGUGUUGUUUGGAGAGCCCACAUUUGGGAAAGGGUAAAUUUUUUUUUUUUUACUCUACACAGUUCCUAUAAAUAUAAUCAUGCAUUCCUGACUUGAGCCAUCCAUCCCAAUAUGCAGGAAGAUUCAGUCAGUUUUUGAGCUGUCUGAUGGCUCCGGGUUGGUUGUUACAGUUGCUCGUUAUGAGACACCUGCUCACACAGAUAUUGAUAAGGUCUGAUGCUAUCUUCUCUCUCUCUCUCUCUCUCUCUCUCUCUCUCUCUCUCUCUCUCUCUCUCUAUCAAUUAACUCUGUUCUCUCUCUCUCUCUCUCGCUCUCGCUCUCUCAAUUAACUUUACCCACAUUGCUUCUUAUAGGUUGGUGUGGUUCCAGACCAUCCCUUGCCAACCUCAUUCCCUAAAGAUGAGGAGGCAUUUUGUAACUGCCUCCAAGAUCCUGCAUCUGCUUGCAACAAGGUCGAGCUGUUUGCAAGAUGACAGUAUCCCCUUUGAAGACAAGACCUUCCUUUUUCUUUUUGUGCAUUAGCAUUGUUUACAGUACAGGAAAUUGACAAUUUUUUGUUUUCAUGUGUAGUUUGACAUUCUUUCAAGGUUUUAUUUGUUUAUGUAAUGUCACAUAUUCAAUGUCUGGGUAGAACCAAGAUGGUAAACAAAUUGCAAAUAUUUGAUUAAAAUCAAUUAAAGAAAUUUACCAUGUCAAUGUGGAUUAGUUGUGCCACUGUCUUGCAACCCACAGAGAACAAAUGCUUAUUUUGUUUAUUUAUUUAAUUAUCCAAUGAAAGUCAUUUCCAGGUAGAAUAUUUAGAUUUACCUCGUCUUGGAACUGUAAACCACAAAUUUCUGCAGUUAUCUAAACUGUACCAUAAGAAGAGAAAAUUCCUUAUGAGAUAAAUACCAAAUUCUACACUGUAUGGAACAAAAUGUACCAUGAACUUGUACUUUGAGUAUAUACAUGGCGUAUGGAUACUGAUAGAGCCUCAGCAUCCAAGCUAGACGUACGAAGAAAAUGGCUUAAUUAUGCCAUCGAAAACCAUCGUGUACACAAAUUGGCUCUGUCUGAAACUUGAUUCCUUGAUCUUAGCUUCAACUGAUGUAAACGGGAUCCGAAGGUCGUGUAAGAGGAGGAGCAAAAAGCCUUGUAGUGCUUGAUCUCUACACUUCCAGGCCAACCAGUGAAAGUCAUUCUCCAGGUUGACAGCGGGUUUGUAUUCUCUAUUCACCAAAACAUCUUUGUCCAUGAACCCAAAAAUGGAAAAACAGCAAUCAACAACCUAAACAGCAGAGGUGUGUCACUUUUCCUUUCUCUCUUACUCAACUUACCCUUCCCCAUCGGCUUUCUUCGAGAUUGCCUCCGUGCAGAUUCAGUUCUUUCAAGAUCAUCCCACCCACCAAGACCUGAUGCAUUUUGGCCACUAUUAUCAACUGAGACAUCAUUGCCUACUACCCAAGAUUGAUAAUCCAUCUUUUUGUUGCUAGUUUCUUGUUCUUCAUCCAUUUUAACGUUAUCUACAGUGCUGGCAAAUGGUUUCCUUCUCCUCCUGGUCUUGGACUUACGUUUUGGCCUACUUUGUGUUCCUCCCCACAACUUCUCAAAUGCCAGUGAAAAUGCUGACUGACAAAGGGGGAAUGCUAAAGCCAUGAGGAAAGCUUUUGCACCCGUAGACAGCAGCAAAGAUACGAUAAUAGCUGGAAAUGCCCAACCAUAGGAUCUGAACACCUGCACCCACCAAAAAGCAAAUAUAUUUCAUCUUACAAAAUUUUUGUUAAGAAGGCUUUUGUUUAACUUCUAACUCUGGAUACAACACAUGGAAAGAUGCCCAAAGCAGCCAAAGAUAACAAAGAACAGAACACAAUAUCCAGUUUUCACAGUGAUUUCUAUCAUUUGAGCUUGAACCUGAUAUGGGGGCAUUCACACAUAUGGGAAAUGCAAGUAUCAUGACAAUAGGAAGAAAAAAAAAAAAAAGAGCUUCCUCUCAUUGAAACAAACAACAAAACCCAGCUAAAGCAUUGAUGCAUUUUAAUACUUAAAACAUCUGGGUUUUUUUUUCUUUCUUUUGUUUUUGUUUUUGGACAAGUCAAACCAAAAAUUGCAACAUCCCAAAUCGCAAUUUAUACAAAUAACCAAAAAUGAAGUGAAAGUUAGAACCUUGAGAAUCCAGACACUAUCAAUGGCUUCAUCCAAGAUUCCACCAGAGCCUUCCUCCAUCUCCGACUCCGAGUAAUCAUCUGACCACCACCGCCUUUUCUUCUUCUCUUUACUUCCAUUGUAAUUGUAGUCUUCUUCUUCUUCUUCGUCGCCAUCAGCAUCUUCUUCUUCUUCUUUGUUGCCUUUGUCUCUUAAAUUAAAACCGAAUCUUUGGGACCGAAUGGUUUCGGCAUUGGAAUCCCAACGACGGUACUUAGGAGUGUAGGAGCGACUUGGUUGAGACGAAGGAAGUGGGUUUUGAAAGAGAGAGUGAAAGGAAUAUUUGGGUCGCCAUGGAUGAGGCUGUGUGAGAAGGAGGACACUGCUCUCCAUUGGCGGUGUGAGCUUCCAUUUGCCACGUUCUUGUUAUCUUUUGUCCAAUUAAAACAUCUCCAACUUUAUUACCCAAAAAAAAAUCUUUAAUUCUUUCUCGGUCACAAAAAUAAAUUCCGAACUUUUUGGCAAAGCCGCGAUUUCUUUUAUUUUCUUUAAAGAUAAUAAAAGGGAAAUUCUAUAUGAACCCUAUUAUUUGCUCUUUACACUCCAUAAUUUUUUACACCCCAUUAAAUUUUAAUAAAAUUUUAAAUUACUCAUUAUAUCCUUUUUUUUUUCCUAAAUUGCCCUCAUGAACCCCAUUCCCUAACUCACUAUGUAAACCCUAUCCCAUAUCAUACACCACCUAUCAAAAACCCCCUUCCCUUUCAAACACACCCCCUUUGAAAUCAAAACCACCCCAUCUGAUAUCAAGCCCCACCCUAUCGAAAAUUCCCUCCUCUUGCAAACACACCCCAUCAAAUUUACAACAAGCUCCACCGCACACCCCAUCGUCUUUGAAACAGAGUCAUCGCCCAACCCAUCUCUGCAAACCACCGAACUCCAUCGCACAAUCCAUCUCUGCAAACCCGAACCCAUCUCUGAAACAGAGCCAUCACACCCCACAGCCAACCCCAAAUGCCUCACCCCGUCGCAAACCACCAUCUCCUCAACCAUCUCAAGCAUCCAUCACCAAUCUGUCAAGUUUUCACAAAUCCUUUGAAGAGCCAAGGUUUGAUUUCGAUUUCGAUUUCUAUAUUUACAUUUCUAAGUGUUGAUUAAGCCUACGUUUGAUUUCACUUUUGAAAAGCCAAAGUCUGAUUUUAAUUUUUGAUUUCAACGUUGUGGGUGUAUGGUUCGAACAUGGUUUUACAAAACUAGAAUAUAGUUUCGGUGGAUUACCACCGAAAUGGUUCCGUUGCUUUAGUGGUAGUCCACCGAAUUUGAACUUGAUCUGUACUAAAAUUAAUUUUACUUUCGGUGGGUUACCACCGAAAUCGUUACCUUAUUUCAGUGGUAAUACACCGAAUUUGUUUCUAUUUUUUAGGAGAUUCCCACCAAAUUUAUUUCUGUUUUUCAGUGGUACUCCAGCAAUAUGUGUUCUUUUUUCAAUGAUAAUCCACUGAAUUUGUUUCCGUUUUUCAGUGAUUAUCUACCGAAUAUAGGAGCGUGACAAACGUAUGUUGUCCUUUACUAGGCCGUUCGUGGCAUUAGGGGAAAUAGCUGCAUUGCGUACACGACCUUCCCAAGUUCAACAAGCAGUUGAGACCUUGCAACAGAUUUUAGAGGGUACAAACAUACGGUCUACCAUGACAUAUCAAUGUCGUCAUGGUUAACUGACUUGCUAGCAUGCAUUUAUUAGAACUCAUGAAACUUUUGUUGUUUUGAUUAGUUAUUGCAUGUUUGUAUUAUUAGAACUCAUGGAACUUUUGUUGUUUUGAUUAGUUAUGAAGUUUGUCCCACUAAAAAAAGUGAAUGUAAAAAAAUAAAUAGAAUUAUUAGAUCUGGAACUAUUUUUGUUUUGAUUAGUUAUGAAGUUUGUCCCACUAAAAAAAGUGAAUAUAAGAAAAUAAAUAGAUUUAUUAGUUUUAUAAUCUCAAUUCUGUAAUGGGUGCAUUUUGGUCAGUCAUUAGGAUGUCCGUAUCUGUAGUAGCUAAAUUCUCCACUCCCGGAAGUUGUUGAAAAGCAUCCAUACGCGCUUGGUACCUCGAGUACAAAUGUGUUACAUUGCAUAUGUCACUUUGUUCAUGCCAUAUUCUAGAAACUGGUGGAAUAGGAUGAUCUGGAGACAAAUGAAUCUACAAACCAAGAAUUCAUUCAUAUACGCAUAGCAUAUAAAAUUAAACAAUGUUGCAUAAACAAAUAAAUUCAUACCUGGACAUAGUGAUCAUCGUCAACAAAAUCAAUGGCAAUCUCACGUAGCUUGAUUUCGCUUGAUUGAACUGAGAAAGGAAGAAAUGUAAGGCAUUGACGCAUGCUUAGAAGGAUUAAAACCACAUUAUAACAUGUGACAAUAAUAAUUUGCAUUCGACCUUAUAUCAGUUGUCUCACUAGACUUGCAAGACUUAUAGUUACCGCUCCUUUCACAGGCAAGUAUUACACGAGGUCUCCUCUUGCCCUCACCUCCAUAAUUAGACAUUUUAAUUACAAUGACAAUAUUAUUCAUUUUUCCUUGUGCACGAGCCCAUCUAAGUAAUGCAUCUCUACCAUUAAAUAUCUACACAUAAAACUCAUCUUAUUUAAAAAUAAAAUUUGAAACGUUAAUGCCACGUUAAUGAUACUAAAAAGGAUUUUAGACAAAUAAUUACCGAAUAAAUUGUGAAUUAAUCACUGUAGUCCAUUACACAUUCUGUUCUCACAUUGUUGCCUUCAGUAGGGGCGUCACCUUAUUUUUAUUCCUUCAAUGGGAGUAAGAUCAAAAUAGCUUGCAUUAAAUUUGUGGUCGACAAUAAGUUAUUGAAAAAAUAAAUAAAUUUCGGUUCGAUGCCACUGAAACGCAGGUAAAAGUUCGGUACUGAACCACUGAACUACGUUCCAUGUUACGGUGGAUCUCCACUGAAUAUUAAGUUCAUAACAGGUCAAACCCAACCGAAAAAGUUGCAACAUUUCGGUGGCAUCCCACUGAAUUUACCUAUUGCAUUCAGUACUGAUGUACUGAACGCAACCAACGACCAUUAUGAAAUGCUAAACUUGCAAAACCCCAAAAAAUAAACUCGUACCUCAUUCGAAGCCCUCUCUAACUUCAAUCUCACCUUUCAUGAAUAAAUACAAUGUAUAUUUUCACAAAUAUAAACAUAUAAAUCUAGGGUUUAGGGUUUAGGAACAUGAUAGUUUGAGAUUAAAGUCAAACUAGGGUUGCAGGAAUAUAUGUGGGGUGUAGUGAGCAAUUUUAAUUUUAAUUUUAAAUUUUUUUUGUCCUUAACAGUAAUUAUAUACAAGGGUAAAAUAGGUUAUUCAUGUUUAAAAUUAGUAUGGGGUGUAAAAAGUAAAUAAUGGGGUGCCAAUAAAAUCUCCCAUAAUAAAAAAUUACACCAGCGGUUUCUAGCCAAGUAGAAAAUGACAUGACUUUAGGGUCAGUUUGGUAUUGUUGUGCUGUUAAUAUAAUCAUUAUCAGAUUUUCUGUGAGAGAAAUCAGCUGUGAAUGAAAGCAAUUUGGCGUUUGGUAAACUUUUUAUUAAAAUUGUUGUUGGUACUAAUUCCCGCAUAAUCAGAAAAUGAUUCUCGCAUAAUUAUUAAACCCAGCACCUCUUCGAAACUGAUUCCUUCAUAAUCAGAAAAUGAAAACACUUAAUUAGCUGCUUUCCCUUAUAGCUUUAUCUCACAGCAAUUUUUAAUAAUAAGUGAUUUUCUCAUAGUUUACCAAAUGGGCUGGGCUUUCCAAAAAAAUUUAAAAAUCAAUUAUCACCUCAAAUAAGCAAUGCCAAACGAGCACUUAGAACAUCUCCAAUCGAUAUGUCAAAUUGUCAUAAGGACAUGAAAUAACAAAAAUUGAAUGUUAAAAUUGCUCAAACCGAGUAGUCAAAUCCUAUAUGAAUUUGAAGGCUGGAUGAAGUAUGUCAAAAAUAACAUAUCAAAAAGCUUGAUGUCAAAUAUUAUUUUAAUAUUUUUUUAGUCAUGUACCCCACUAUCAUUUACUUUCUUUUAAAACUUUAUGCAUCAUAUGAGUCCCAUCUGUUUUUUAAAAUUUAAUAAAAUAAUAUGAUAUUUGACAAAGGGUGGAGUUAAAUUUUUUUCAAAGCAUCAAAUGACCAAAUAAGCCAUCAAAUUCAAAUUUAACAUUUUGCAUUUGACAUCUCCGUUGGAGAUGCUUUUAGUUCUAACACAAAUUGAAUCCUCAAAUUGAAAAAUUCCAAAAAAAAAGGUUCUAUGGGGCAUGAUCUAGAAAAUCCAUCCAUUCCAAUUGGAGUUUAUUAACUUGAUUUUUAUUAUUGGUUUUUAUAUUGGUUUUUGUUUUUAUCAUAUUCCUAACUCAUUACUCCACAUUCUCACGUCAUUAGAACUAACUUGGGUAAACUCAAUUUGAUCUUUAACUUUAUAAAUGAGAUGUUAGUUAGAUUUACCUAAGUUUUUGUGCACUCCGAAGUGGUCUUGGAAAGUAUAAGGUUUCGUCUCUCUUUCCCCUCCAUGAAAAAAAGCAUUGGUCUUUACUUUCAUACUAAACACGUAAAGAUGAGUUGAUUAUUUGUUGUCCCCUAGACACGAUAUAUAUAUAUAUAUAUAUAUAUAUAUAUAUAUUUGGGGUCGGUAAAUAGGCUUUACAAUUUUUUAGCUGUAAGUUCUAAUUUUACGUUUACCAAUUCCAUCCUCCAUAUUCCAUCAUUGUGGCCGUUUGACUCUCGUGGUGUUGACCAAUUGUAGCUUUCUUUCACCAAUUAUAUUGUUCCCAUCUUUUAGGUUCAUUCGACUCGAAGAGGAGGAUGAACAGGAGACACACAAGAGAGACAAGGAAGAAAGAGUUUGAGAAGAAAGGGAGGGAGGCUCGAGGACACAUAAUUUCAUACAAAAUUUGCAGGUAUGAUACUUUGAAUUACUUAAUAGUUUUCUACUACAACACACUCAUAAAUUAUGUUUUUUUUUUGUGGGUCAAUACUCAUAAAUUAUGUUAACUAAAAAGAAUGUUUAACAUAUUACUGACAGGAUUUAUCAUUCACCAUGGAUUCUCAAAGUUUCUUAUUUCUUUUUGACUUCUGUCUUAAUUCAUGUUAAAGUAAUCAAGUUAUUGUACGUGAUAAUAACACUAAACGACAUGUUAUACUCUAGGUGUUAUAUCAUAUAAUGGAAUGAUUUGAGGAAAUUAGUAACACCAUACCACAUCGAAUUCAGUUACAUCAAAACAUUACUCAUAUCACGAUCAUGCACAUUAACUUCUCGUCAAAUUCUACUCGAAGUGACAUUAGCCAAAAAAAGAAAAUCUACAUAAUUGCAAAACCUAACUUGGUAUUUUUAUUUAUUUUAAAUAAGACCUAAAUUGGUAUAAAUAAUGAGCAGGUGACUAUUUUUACAUAAGAAAACAACAACUUGAUAGAGGAGGGGCAUUGAAGAAGAGUUUGAGAAUCAAGAGAGGGGGAGGCUCAAGGAGAUUUUCAUAAAAAAUUUACAGGUAUAAUUAUUCUUGACUGAUUUUUUGUUCAUCAUCUAUUUUAAUUUUUUUUUUCCAAUUAAUUUGAAAGUUUUUAUUUAUUUAUAGAAAAAUGAAAUCUUACAACCGAAACCACGCGGCUAGGCAGGCCAACUAAAUCAAAGUAAAUCCAUUUAGAAGUUGAACCGAUGUUGGAAGGAAAAGAAAACUAGAAAAUUACAAUUAAAGAGUCGGCGAUAAAUCUUACAAAAACAUAAGAAGGAAACGACAUGUCGUCGCCAGUGGCAAGACAAAAGGCGAGCUCCCCUGCCGAGAACCAAAACGUGAGGCGCUCCAUAGCCAUAGCUUCCGCGAGAGAGAGAAGGUUUGGAGCCAUGAGGCCGACUCCGAUGGACUUCUUCGGCGACAUGGACGACCAGGGCUCCACCAUGGCCAUGGACGUUGACGACGUUGACACACUCGAGAGCUUUGCCGACGGCGUCAUCGGCGAGAACAAGCUGGCCGACGCUGACUUCUUCAAUUCCUUCGAGGACGAUUUCGACGACACCGACAUCAACUGAACCAACCGCAGCUUCUUCUCCAUCGAACCCAUGUAAUGAUUUGCUUCGAUUUGCUCUGUUUUCUAGGGUUUCGGCUAGGAUGAAGUUUCUUCUUUAAUUAGCCAAAUUGGUUAUAUAUAGAUAUGGAUUUUAGUUUGUGUUUAUGCUAUAUGUGAUUGCUGUGUGAAUGAUGGAUGGUGUUCGUUCUGUUUGGUUGGCGUUUUUAAGCUCUGCGUGGUUUCUGUUCCAAAUCAGAAAGUAAUUGGUUUCUUAUGUGUGUUAAUGGGAUUAUGUUUUUGGGGCUUUUGCAAAUGGUGUGUAGUGUUAGCUGUUUUGGGUUGUCUAGAAGAGUGAGGAAAGGCAAAAGAGAAGUGGGUAUGUGAAGGUUUUGUUGAGUCAAUGGUAAUGAUUCAGUGAUGAACAACGUUUGAGAAUUUUUGUUUCCAUGCUAAUUCUGGCUUUGUAUGCAGUAACCAUGUGGAAUUAUGGUUCUGCUUUGCAACUUUGGCAUAUCUAUAUGCUGUAUGCAUUUGGUCUAUGCUGUUCAGUCUCUUGCAUAUUUUGCAUUUGAUUAUAGGUUUGUCUGUAUUAUAUGUCAUGACUCAGUGUCUGUGCAUUCACGGUGGUUAUGCCAUUUAGUCUAAUUACUUCUUGUCAUUCCUUAUUUCUUAGGUGCUCUUUUGAUUUCUCGGUGCUCCAUGUGCAUCGAGCUCUAGGUGCUUAUGAAUUGAGGUUGAAACCUCAAACCAUUGUUAGUCUUGCUUAUAGUUUUCUCUUUUGCAGAGGUGUCUAUAUGAAAGUUUAAAAUGAUUGGUUAGUGGGGUACUCUUAGUUGUUUGGCGGUCUAUAUUACACCUUAUGUGCUCGAGUUAUGGUGAUCUGUGGUGCACCUUAGGUCCUCAAGUUAUGGCGAUCUGGGACACGCCACAGGUUGCUUGAGUUAUGUUUUGGAGUACACUAUAGGUGCUUGAGUUAGGGUCCCCUCUUUUAUAGCUGCCGGGGGGGUUGGGGGGAAGGGUUGUAUCAUAGAGAAUCUAGCAGUUUAUACUUUCGUGUGACUGCAAACUGUGGAGCUACACAAGAUUGAUUCAAGAUAUAAUAGGAAUCCUGAAAGCUUGUGUCGCACUUUGAAUUGCUAUAGCUGAGGAAGCGAAAUCCCACGACUGAGUCUGCUGCUUUCGACUUGGUAUGGCCAUGUUGGGUUUGUCUAAAAUUUUUAUUCAUAUGCCAGAGCUUUUGCAUUUAGCAUGCUAGAUAGGUAAUAAGUAACCUUCUAGGUUGGCUUAAGAGUGCAUGGCAACCAGUUUGGGUCAAUUGGGAAGCCUUCUUGAUGAAGUUUAAUUGGAUGGGUUCCGGCCGUCACAUUUAACCGAAUUGUAUUCGUCCUUAUAUUAAUAUAAACCAAAUCAACUAGUGACCCAAAAAAAAAAAACCCAAUCAACUCGCAAAUCAAUUCGAAGAAAGAAAACAGAAAAAAAUAUUUUUUUUUGGUGUACAAGAAGAGAGUUCAUUUUUCGUUAGACAUGCAAUACUGCAAUGAUGGUUCUUCUAUUGAAGUAAAUCAUCUAUGGACCCUAAGAGGUAGCAUUCACCUCUGUACGGUUGCACCCGAAGUCUUGUGUUUAAAUCCCCAUUCUUAAAUAUUGCUUGUAUUAAACAAUAAAAAAAAAGGAAUAUACACCAAUUAAACCCUUAUACAAGAUUGAUUACAAACGAUGCCUGUGGCUCUGGAUAGUAUGACAAAGUUGGGUUUCAAAAUGUAGAAGAUGCAAUUUAUGAUCAAGGACAAGAAGGAAACAGAGACUAGGAAUAGUAAGUUUACAGGAAGAAAUGUUGAGAAACAAACACAUAUGGAAACAAGGGAGUUUAGAUAGAACAAACCAAACCACAAGGUUUUCUAAACUACUCGAAGAAAGCAUAUUAUAACAUGAGCACAAAGUUAACAAAAUAAAGCCAAACUGUUAUAUGUUAACUAGCAAUAAAGAUUAAUUAACAAUAGUCACCCCAAGUUCCUAGACCUAACUAGCCUAGCUAGCCACAAUGCUAAAAAGACUAGGUUCAAGCCAGUAAACUUGUUUUUCAAGCCCUGUUAAUCCAAGAUCAUCACUGACUCUUUUUAUGUUUUUCCCUCUCAAAUUAUACACACAUAAAAAACAGGUGUCAUCAGAUGGUGCAUAGGUGAAGUAGAUUGAGUUCUCAUGAUCACAUUCCUGGGGUGUGACGAAUAUGGACUGAUUCGAACCCAAAACCAAUGCCUGGUUGCCAAAGGAUUCCACCUUUGUCCAUCCAGAUGUACAUGUACCAUCCCGAUUAUUAUAUUCGAGCUUAUAAACAACGAAUCGAACCUGGGGGAUGGGCAAAGAACUGAUCCUCUGAACCAAGAACAGAUCACUUGCCCCAGUUUUGGCUAUGCAGGGCUUUGGGAACCAAUUAUUUAGUUUUAGUUACAAGGGCGCACCAGCUGGGAUAAUUUCCAACUUUUUUAUGGGAAUCAAGGAAUUGGUGAAAUCCCAGACUUCAACGCUGCAAUCUACGUUUAAGGCAUAGAAGCCAUUGCGAUCGCUCGUAACAUCAACAUACGCUUUCUGCCCGGCAAGCUUUGUCCACUUGUUAUCUGCAGGCGUGCAGAAAGCAAGACAGUUACACCCAUCUUUGGAACCGUGGUAAUUGUACAUUAGCAAGACCCCAAUGCUUUUUUUGUUGCCGCAGGUUGGUUGCAAAGAGACAGCAACCUUGAGCAUCCUUUGUCGCCAAUGUCUCCCAGACUUCUGGAGUACUGGAUCAAUGCUAUACAGAAGAGUAUCAAGUGGUGGGAGCAGAAGCUGGAUCCCUACAGAUACGGGAUUUAAGAGCAGCAGUUGUUUCUUGUUGCUCAAGAAAAGCAGCCAGCCGUGAGAGGAUCCAAUGCAAAUACUAUCUCCAUGGCAGAACUGUUUAGGCAUGUUGUAAAACUUGCCUUCAAGACUGUAAAAACCAGCACCAUCUUUGCCCUCGUCUUGAAAAGCAAGGAGCAGCGGCGGCUCUGGUAAGCAAGUGAAGGACGGCGAUGAGCGCGAGAUGUAUUUGAUGGCCUUAAGCCAUGGACGACAAACUGCUUCGAGCCGCAGUAUGUUUCCUGGGGACAGUUUUGAUAAGAUCAGUUGAAAAGGGUCAAUUGGAAGUUCGGACCAACUUGUUCUGCUAUGUUUUGUUUUUUGGGAAAGAAUGGCUGUUUUGUCGGCCAUUGAUGUGUGACCUUGAUCAGACGCUGAACCAAUAUUUUGGAGAUUCUGAGAAAAGAGAACCCUAGCGAGAAGAGAAUAACGAAAACUCACUAAUAAAGGGUCUGACAAAAAAUAAAACGAGUUAUUUAUACUAGCCCCUUGGCACAUGCUCUGCAUGUGUGAAUUGGUUUUCUUUUUUCUUUUAUAUUUUAUUUUUAGAAUUAAGAAAAGAUAAUAUCUAUAUAUAUAAAGCAAAAGGCAGAGAAUGGUGAAACAUUCAAAAUACCAGAAAAUAUCCUUGGUUAAUGCAAACAUUAAGAACUAAACUUACUAAUUAAAUGAGGAUAAUAUGGUAAAUUCACACUUUUUCAUAUUUAAAAAAAUUAAAAGAAAAAGAAAAAGCAGAUAAUAGAUCCUAUUUUUAUGGAACAUAACUACCCAUUAUCUUUUUUAAUUCUAAAAUAAAUUUACUUAUUUUUUAAAAAAAACCUCUCACAAGUGCGGAAGCACGUGCAGAGAGGCUAGUAGAUAGUUAUGUUCCAUAAAACAGGACUUAUUAUCUGAUUUUGUUUUUAAUUUUAAUAUGAAAAAAAUGUGAAUUUACCAUAUUAUACUCAUUUAAUUAAUAAUUUUAAUUCUUAAUGUUUGAAUUAACUAAUGGCAUUUUUUUUGGUUUUUGAAUGUUUCACCACUCUCUGCCUUUUGCUUUAUAUAUAUAUAGAUUAACACCCCUCAGUUUCUUCGAGUUUUUACAAAACCAAGGUUUUAAAAAUUACUCAAACACUCUCUAAGGUCUUUGUCAUGUUUACUAAUCCAUAAUCAAAUUAGGAGGAAUUGAAUGAGGAUAAAUUGAAUUGAUGAGGAGUUGGAUUGAGGAGAAUUAGAUUCCGGAUUCCUAUUGAAGUUGUUUACUAAAUCAUAUGGAAUUGAGGUAGGAGUGGUGCUAAUUGCUAAAAUGUUCUCGUUGUUGGGGUAAAGUAGAUGACAAAUUUUAAAAUUUUAAAAUUGUGUGAGGAUAUAAUGGGUAAAAAAAGAUGAAUUCCUAAUGAGUUAGUUCUCCAGAAAUUAGAAUACCACAUCGAUCCCACCCAAGAAUUUGAAUUCCUCCAAAAAAUCAGGAAUUCAAUUCCUAAUUUUGUGUGGACCCUACUUACUUUUUAAUUCAUUGAUGUGAAGUAAACACAUGAAUUCUCAAUAAUUGGAAUUCAAUUCCUGAUUAGUAAAAAUUGCUUUCACAAAACCCCUUUUUCUUAAAAUUCCUUCACAAAAAUUGUUGAUUUCAUAAAAAGAAAUAUCAAAAUGACAAAUCUGCCCUUACAUAACAUGAGCACAAAGUUAAGUAUACAUAACAUGAGCACAAAGUAACAAAAUAAAGCCAAACUGUAAUACGUUAACUAACAAUAAUCACCAUAGUCCCUAACUAGCCUAGCCAGCUACAGUGCUAAAGGACCAGGUUCAAACCAGUAAACUGGCUGUUCAAGCCCCGUAAAUCCAAGAUCACAGGCUUUUGCAAUUUCUUUCCCUUUCAAAUUGUACACACUUAAAAGCAGCUGUCAGAAGAUGGUGCAUAGGUGAAGUAAAUUGAGUUCUCAUGAUCAAAUUCCUGCGGUGAGAUUAAUAUGGACUGAUUCAAUCCCAAAACCAAUGGAUAGUUGCCAAUGGAUUCUACCUUUGUCCAUCCAUAUGCACAUGUUCCAUCCCAAUUAUUAUAUUCGAGCUUAUAAACAUCGAAUCGAACCACUUUGGGGUUCAAAGAAUUGACCCUCUGAAUCAAGAACAGAUCACUUGCCCCACUUUUGGCUAUGCCGGGUAUUCGGAACCAAGAAUGUCCUUUUAGUUCCCAGGGCACACCAGCUGCUGGGAUAAUAAUUUCUGACUUUUUUUUAUGGGAAUUAAGGAAUUGGUGAAUUCCCAGACUUCAACGCUGUAAUCUGCGUUUAAGGCAUAGAAGCAAUUGCCAUCGCUCGUAACAUCUAGGUACCGUUUCUGGCCGUCAAGCUUUGUCCAAUUGUCAUCUGCAGGCGUGCAGAAAGCAAGACAGUUACAUCCAUCUUUGUAAUUGUAAAUUAGCAAGACCCCAAUGUUGUUUUUGUUGCCGCAGGUUGGUCGACAAGACAGAGCAACCUUGGGCAUCCUUCGUUGCCAAAGUCUCCCAGACUUCCGGAGAAUAAUUUCUGGAUCAAUGCUAUACAGAAAAGUAUUGAGUGGGGGGAGCAGAAGCUGGAUCCCUGCAGAUACGGGAUUUAAGAGCAGCAGUUGUUUCUUGUGGCUCAAGAAAAGCAGCCAUCCGUGAGAGGACCCAAUGCAAAUACCAUCUCCAUGUCAUAAAUGUUUAGGCAUGUCGUAAAACUUGCCUUCAAGACUGUAAAAACCAGACUGGCUAACACCAUCUUCGUCCUUGUCUUGAAAAACAAGGAGCCGCGGCGGCUCUGGUAAGCAAGUGAAGGACGGCGAUGACUGUGAGAUGCAUUUGAUGGCCUUAAGCCAUGGAAGACAAACUGCUUCAAGCCGCAGUAUGUUUCCUGGGGACAGUUUGUUGAUGUGUAAAACCCUUAAGCUGAAUGCCUUGGAGCCAAAGUUACAAAGUCUGUCUAUGUUUCAGUCUAUAAGCUUUAUUUUUUUCCUUAAUGUAAUUUGAGCCAUUGGAUCAUAGUCCAAGUGGUCUCUUAGCUAGCCUAGGAUUUAAGUAUCAGAUCAUGACAAGUGGGAUCAUCUCAUAGGAUGAUGGAAUCAAAGGCUAGGAUUGAAUAACUUUUGUAAAUCAGUUAGAGAAUUAGAUUCUUCUCUCACACACACACUUACAUACAUGUAGAGUGUAAUACGAAUUCAUCUAUCUACAAGUUUCUAAGAGAGCAACGUUCUCUCCCUCAUACAUUCUUUGUGAUCUCUUUCUUCUUCCCAAAAAUAUACAAACUGCUAAAAACAAUGUACUCUAACAUGGCCUCAGAGCCAGGUUUGAUCACUUGAGCUGGGCGUGAAUCUGUGAACAGGGAGGAGGAAUUGAUUUGAGCUGGUUCUGAGCUUCUUUCGACGAUUGCAGCUGAGAUUUCUUGAAUCCAAUGUCUCACAUGACAGGAUCUAGCACUUCUGAGCUUCGCACACCAGUGUUCAAUGGAUAAAACUAUGAGUUAUGGAACAUUCGGAUGAAAACAAUACUGAAAUCUCAUGGACUGUGGGAUCUGGUUGAACAUGGCUGCAAUGGUUUAGAUUCAAAUAAGGAAAAGGAGAUAGAAGAGACUAAGGUUGUUGAGAAGUCUACAAUGGCUGAGCUUCUGAUGAAGGACGCUCGUGCACUUGGAUUGAUCCAAAGUGCUGUCUCAAAUCAACUCUUCCCCAGAAUUGUGAAUGAGGAGACCUCAAAGGGAGCUUGGGAUAUUCUGAAGCUGGAAUUCAGAGGAGACAAACAUGUACGAAAUGUAAAACUGCAAGGAUUGCGUAGAGAGUUUGAAUAUACUCGCAUGAAAGACAGUGAAUCCCUAUCUAUAUAUCUUGCUAGAUUGUUUGAUAUCUUGAAUCACAUGAAGAGUUAUGGUGAGGAACUAUCUAGGGAGAGAGUAGUGCAGAAAUUGCUGUUUAGUUUGCCAAAAUCCUAUGAUCCUAUUUGUUCUGUGAUUGAGCAUUCUAAGGAUCUAGAAACUCUAGAAGUGCAAGAGGUGGUUGCCUCCUUGAAGAGCUUUGAGCUCAGAUUGGAUCGCCAUACUGAAAAUUCUACAGAAAAGGCCUUUGCUAGCCUGAAUAUUGAGGAGAAGAAUCCUAAGAGUGGCAGUUUUUCUGGAGACCAAAAAUCUCAGAAAAACUGGAAGUCAAGUGAUGGUAACAAAAUAGCCUGUAAACAUUGUGAUAAGCUGCAUUAUGGCAAGUGCUGGUUUGAAGGCAAACCUAAAUGCCAUGGAUGUGGAAAAUUUGGGCAUAUGAUCCGAGAGUGCAAUGGAAAUAAAAAUGCACAUAAGGUGAACUAUGCAAAUCAGGUGGAGGAAACAGGAACUUUGUUCUAUAUGUGCAAUGCUGCAACAGGUGUGAAAAAGAAUCACUCAUGGUAUAUUGAUAGUGGUUGUAGUAACCACAUGACAGGAGAUGAGGGACUCUUAGUGGAUAUUCAAAGGAAUUUGACUUCUAAAGUCAAGAUGGGGACUGGAGAGGUAGUUCCAGUGGCAGGAAAAGGAACUCUUGUGAUAAAAACCAAGCUGGGGAAGAAGCACAUUCAAGAAGUAAUGCUUGUACCUGGUCUGGAACAAAAUCUACUCAGUGUUGGGCAAAUGAUGGAGCAUGGUUAUUAUCUUGUGUUUGGAGGGAAUAUGGUGAAUGUUUAUGAUGAUCAGUCACUAGGAAAUCUGAUUGUGAGGGUUCAAAUGACCAACAACAGAUGUUUUCCACUUACAAUGAUGCCUGCAAGUGAGUUGGCUUUAAGAGCAAGUGUUUCUCACUGCCUGCAGACAUGACACAAGAGGUUAGGACACUUAAGUGAGAGAAGCAUAAAACUGCUUGAGAAUCAGGGCAUGGUUCAUGGCCUACCUCAUUUGGAGCAAGUCUCAGUGGUUUGUGAAGGUUGCAUGCUAGGAAAGCAACACAGAGAUUCCUUCCCCUUGGAGUCUACUUGGAGAGCAUCAUACCCUUUGGAAUUGGUUCCCACAGAUAUCUGUGGACCAAUGAAAACAGACUCAAUCUCAGGAAAUAAAUACUUCCUGCUAUUCACUGAUGACUGCACUAGAAUGUCAUGGGUGUACUUUAUUAGAAACAAGUCAAGUGCAUUGGAGUGUUUUAGAAAAUUCAAAGCCAAGUGGGUAUAAGAAAAUUCGAACCAGCUACCUAAGGAUGCGUGGUUUCUGAUAAACUAGUUCAAAUCAUAAAGUAAUUGGUCGCUUAUGUGCGUUAAUGGGAUUUUCCCUCUUUAUAUUUCAUUGUUUAUCUUCGCAAUAAUUGGGGCUUUUGCAGAGCGAGGAAAAGUAAAAGAUAAGUGGGUUUGUGAAGGUUUUGUUGAGUCAAUGGUAAUGAUUCAAUGUGCACAACAUUUGAUAUCUUUUGUUUCCAUGCAAGUUCUUGCUUUGUAUGCAGUAACCAGGCGUCUGUGCAUUCCUGGUGAUCCAGUUAUGGUAGUCUGGGGUGCACCGUAGGUGCUCGAUUUUUGUAGGUUUAACAUGUACAAGAUAAGGCAAUAUGAUCAAAGACAAGAAGGAAGAGGACACUAGGAAAAUAAGUUUACAGGAAGAAAUGUUUAGAAAUAAAUACAUAUUGAAACAAGGGAGAUCAAUUCCAAUAACAUGAGCACAAAGUUAAAAAAUAAAUAAAUAAAUAAAUCCAAAUUAUAUGUUAAGCUUCCACAAAAUAUAAUGUUUAAAGAUUAAAUAACAAUAAUCACCCUAGUCACAAGCUAGCUACAGUGCUAAAGGAUAACGUUCGAGCCAGUAAGCUGGUUGCUUUAAUAAUCCCAGAUAACCGACCUUUUUCGGUUCUAUCUCUCUCACAUUAUAGACAAUUAAAUCAUAGCUGAAAGAAGAUGAUGCAUGGAGGAAGUAGAUGGAAUUCUCAUGAUAUCCUGGAGCAUGAUCAAAUUCCUGGGGUGAGAUUAAUAUGGAGUGGUUUGAACCCAAAACCACUGCAUACUUGCCAAUGGAGUCCACCCUUCUCCAUCUAGAUGUACCAUCCGGAUUAUAUUCGAGCUUAUAAACAUCAAAUCGAACCCUUUCCCAGGCAGAAGAGUCGACCAUCGCAACCAAGAACAGAUCACUUGCUCCAGUUUUGACCAAAAACAGAUCAGUGGCAUCAGUUUUGUCCAUGUAAAGCUGGAAAUCAUAAUUUAACUUUGGUACCAUGGGAGCACCAGCUGGGAUAGUUUCCAACUUUUUGAUGGCAGAGGAGUUGGGGAAACCCCAGACUUCAACACUGUAAUCUUCGCGUAACGCAUAAAGGCGAUGGCAAUCACUCGUAACAUCUAGGUACCGUUCGUGCUCGUCAAGCUUUGUCCAUUUGUUAUCUGCAGGCGUGCAGAAAGCAAGACGGUUACGCCCAUCUCCGACAUUGUACAUUAGCAAAACCCCAAUGUUGUUUUUGUUGUUGCAGGUUGGUGGCGAAGACAGAACAACCUUGCACAUCCAUUUUCGCCAGUAUCCACACGUUCCCUUGAGGAGAAAAAUUCCUGAAUCUUCCAUAGGAGGAUAUUGAUACAUAAUGCUAUCUAUAUCCGGAAAAGUAUUGAGUGGUGGGAGAAGAAGCGGAGCCGCUGCAGAUGCGGGAUUUACAAGCAGCAAUCGUUUCUUGUUCGUCAAGAAAAGCAGCCAGCCGUGAGAGGACCCAAUGCAAAUAGUAUAUCCAUCGCCUAACCGUUUAGGUAUGUUCAUCAAGCUGUAAAACUUGCCUUUAAGACUGCAAAAACCAGACAGGCGACCGCCAUCGUUGUCCUCGUCUCGAAAAAGAAGGAGCCGUGGUGGCUCUAGUAAGCAAGGAAAGGACGGCGAUGACGAUGAAAUGUAUUUGAUGGCCUUAAGCCAUGGACGACAAACUGCUUCGAGCGGCUUUAUGUUUCGUACGGACAGUUUUGAUAAGAUCAAUUGAAAAGGGUCAAUUGGGAGUUGGGACCAAUUUGCUCUGCUGCUAUGUUCUGUUUUGUUGGAUCCAAUGGCUACUUUGUCAGCCAUGAAUGUACGGUUUUCGCUGAACCUAGCUAUAUAUUUUAGAGAUUCGGCGGAGAAAAGUUAACCCUAGCGAUAUAAUGGGGAAUAACGGAGAAGCAGCUUACUUGGAGUACCAGUCUGAACAAGUUUGUUGUAUAUAUAGGGGCGGAUAUGUGGCACUAUAUUUUUGACACAAGUUUUGACACAAAUUUUCAACUAUUAGAUUAGAAUGGAUUGAAUGGCUAAGAUUAACUAAACUAAUUAUAUAUUUUUAAGAAAAAUAUGUAUUAAAAAUAAUUAUUAAUUAACUUUCUCUUUCUUAUUUCUCUAUUGUCAAUCAAUGUUUUAUAAAAUCUUCCUAUUUCGUAUCCUCUAGAAUUCUUCAUUUAAUGACUUUCCCAUCCUCCUCCUCUUUCUUCUAAAAGCUUUACAGGUUUAUGAUUCUUUUUCUUCUCUAUCCCUAACUUUGUGUUUUGCUUUUUUUAACUGCUUAGUUUUUGGAUUGUUACAGUUAUACAUAGAUUAUGACUCUCGAAGUAAAGGCUUGGGGAUAACACCCCAUCCACACACACACAAUGAACUGCACAGCAAACUGUCUUUUGCCAUAUAUUUUUUAAUGUUACUAUUAAUCAUAAUGAAUAAAAGCUUGUAAGCCAUUAAGAUGUUAUAAAAAAAAAAAACAGAAAGAGAGAGAGAGUUAGAUCAACCAAACGGUGGAGAAGAAAUAUUGCAACAAAUUUGGGCCUUAUCUUUUAAAUAUUAAUAUCUUAUUUUCUCUUCAAUAUUGGUAGCUUGAGACAGAUUUUCUAUGUCGUGGAUGAAUGCUCGGUUGGUGUAGAUGACAAUGGCAAGGGGAAGAUAAUGGUGAGGUUUCGCAGGUUAUUAAUUGAGAAGAUCAUGAUAAGAAAACAAAAAGGGGAAAGAUAAUUGAGUGAUUUUCGGAAUUAUCAUAAUUAAUAAAUAAAAAUGAAAUUUACUUGGCAUUAGAGAUUUAAUUUAAUUUAAGUAAUUAAUGAAACAUAAUCUCAGCCAUUCAAUCCAUUCUAAUCUAAUGGUUGAAAAUUUGUGUCAAAAUUAUAGUGCCACGGAUCCGCCCCCAUAUAUAUAUAUAUAUAUAAGAAGUUUGAGUUUGGCCGAAAAACAAAAAAAGAAAUUUGAGUUUGGCCAAAAAACAAAAAUAGAAGUUUUAAGGCAAAAGAAAUGGAUCUUUGGAGAAGUUUGCGAAAAAAAUAUAAUUAAAAAAGAAGUUUGCGAAAAAAAUAUAAUUAAAAAAGAAGUUUGCGAAAAAAAUAUAAUUAAAAAAGAAGUUUGCGAAAAAAAUAUAAUUAAAAAAGAAGUUUGCGAAAAAAAUAUAAUUAAAAAAAUAUCCGACCUGCCGGAUUCGAACCAGCGACCUAAGGAUGGCUAUUGGUUUACCCGACUACAGUCCUCCGCUCUACCAACUGAGCUAAGGUCGGAUUGCUGAACAAGAUACCAAACAAAUACUACUUAUAUGCAAAACAGAUGCAGUACAUAAUAAGCUAGUUAGUUUUGUUACUUUUUGACAGUUCAUUUCCUCCGAUUUUUAAUUGACCUAGUGUCAGUUUGUUCUUCAGCUAGGAGAAGCAUUUGAGAACCCAAUAGAAGUGAUCCAUUAAUUGUUAUUUAGAAAUAAUUAUAGUUCUCCUUGUUUGUCUACGCACACUAUAAAACAUAAAAACGACAAUUAUAGCUUUUCUCAAAAAUAAGGGAUGCUAUUGAUGCUGUCACCAUCCAACAUUGAGAUAGAAUAGAACAGGCCAAAGAUGACUUGUGCCAUUGUCACUUGCCAUUUGCCACUAUAUAAGCCUGUCGUAAUCACUGUUUUGAAAAUAUAUAAACAAAGGUAUGGUGGUUAAAAUAUUUUUUUUAUUUAUUAAAUUGUUAAAUUAAUAUCAAUAAUGCAAGAGACUCCAAAUUUAUUCACCAAAGUAUGGUGACCCUAGUAAUAUUCUAUAAAAAUUGAUGACAGGGGUACUUGCAAUGUGAUAUGUGAGUUAAAUUUAGUAUACAAAUUUGACCUCGCAUUAAUAUUAAAUCAAUGAGCAAUGUUACGCAUGCCACAUUUGUAUAUUAUUCUGUGUACCACCUCUUUAAUAGAGGCGGAAGCCACCUCUUUAAAGAUGGUACAUAGGGUGGUAUAUAAAUACAGUACAUGACUAUCAUUUUUGUAAACUUUUUUAUAUGAGUAAUGCUACACUUACCACAUUUAUAUCCCAUAUUUUCAUACCACCUUAUGUGGCAGAUGAAGUGGACAAUCACAUUAAUUAAAAAGUGUCAACAAAUCAUAAAAGAUAAGAAAAGAUUAAAUUAAUUUUAAUUGAUGUGUUGUCCACCUCAUCUACCACAUAAGGUGGUAUGAGAAUGUGGUAUACAAAUGUGAUAAGAGUAGCAUUAUUCUUUUUAUAUAUGCCGGCUUCAAACUUAUAUAUAUAUAUAUAUAUAUACAGUCCCCUUCUAUUGAGGGAUCCCUCAAAUAAAAUUAUUUGAGGGACGCCCUUUAGGGUACCCUACAAUUUUUUUCUCAAUGAUCCAAACCAUCUAUUUUUUAGGUCUUCAUUCAUAGAUCAUCCUAACAAAAAAUUAGACAAAUCGGAAACCGUUUCGACAUUCAAUUGUGUCUUACAAAAUCAAUGAACACGGUACUUCAAGAAAAUGCUAAAAUUUCAAUAACUUAAUUGAGUGGUCAAAUGAUAUCGGAUUCAAGUGAUUUUUUGUAGGGAUGAUCUUUGAAUGAGUAUCUACAAAAUAGAAUGUUUGGAUUAGUGAAAUACAAUCCGGAGUGGGGCCUACAAGGGGUGUCCCUCAAAUAAGCUUAUUUGAGGGAUCCCUCAAUGGAAGCUCUCUGUAUAUCAGUCCCCUUCUAUUGAGGGACGCCCUUUAGGGUACCCUACAAUUUUUUUCCCAAUGAUCCAAACCAUCUAUUUUUUAGGUCUUCAUUCAUAGAUCAUCCUAAUAAAAAAAUUAGACAAAUCGGAAACCGUUUCGACAUCCAAUUGUGUCUUACAAAAUCAAUGAACACGGUACUUCAAGAAAAUGCUAAAAUUUCAAUAACUUAAUUGAGUGGUCAAAUGAUAUCGGAUUCAAGUGAUUUUUUGUAGGGAUGAUCUUUGAAUGAGUAUCUACAAAAUAGACGGUUUGGAUUAGUGAAAUACAAUCCGGAGUGAGGCCUACAAGGGGUGUCCCUCAAAUAAACUUAUUUGAGGGAUCCCUCAAUGGAAUAUAUAUAUAUAUAUAUAAGAAUUUCACAUGAGGAAAAGCGAAAAUUUUAUUUAAUUAAACUUGAUUUUAUUGAAGUGUCCAAUAAGGGCUAUAAAAACAAUGCAGUUGUGCAAAGUGCAGACACAUACAGAUCCACUAACAAACACACGCACAAUCUAAGUCCAAAAUGAGUAGCUCCAAGGAAGUAGCCAAUAAGCCUCAUGUUGUUUGCAUGCCUUUUCCAGUUCAAAGCCACAUGAAGGCAAUGCUUCAACUAGCAAAGCUCCUCCACCAUAGAGGUGUCCAUGUAACCUUUGUCAACACAGAGUUCAAUCACAAAAGGCUUCUCAAGUCUCUAGGGCCAAACUCCCUCGACGGUGUGCCUAGUUUCCGAUUCGAAACCAUACCAGAUGGCCUUCAAAGUUCAGACGAAGAUACCCAACAAGACAUGUUAUUGCUUGGAGAGUCCAUCAAAAAGAAUUUCUUGGCUCCAUUUCGGGACCUCAUCACAAAACUCAAUCACACGGCAGGCGAUCCUUCAGUGACACACAUCAUUUCAGAUGGUUGGAUGACGUUGUUCCCCCUGGCAGCAGCUGAAGAACUUGGAAUCCCUGUUGUACUCUUCUUUACUAUUUCUGCAUGCAGCUUGAUGGGCUACAUACAAUUUCCAGCUUUGGUUGAAAAAGGACUUGUCCCACUCAAAGGUGAAAUUACUCAAACAUGAGUAGCUUAAUUCCAACCUUUUUUGGAAUGUCAAUAAUAGGGCCUCCCUUACCUCUUAAUUUUUAGAUUAAUUCUCCUGUUUCUAAACAGAUGAAAUUUUUCUUCACUUGGGUAUUUGCAGAUGAGAGUUGUUUAACAAAUGGCUUUCUGGACAAGGUGAUAGAUUGGAUUCCGGGAAUGAAAGGUAUUCGUCUAAGGGAUCUCCCACACAACUUGAGAACCACAAAUCCCAACGAGAAAUCCUGGACAAACUGCUUGGAAGCAAUUGGAAGAUUUGAUAAAGGUUCAGCAGUUGUUCUUCAUAGUUUUGAUGCACUGGAGCAAGAUGUUUUGGAUGCUCUCUCAUCCAUGUUUCCACUUGUUUAUGCAAUUGGCCCCUUCCCAUUACUUCUUAAUCAGAUACCAGAGCACCCUUUGAAGAUUAUGGGAUAUAGUCUACGGAAAGAAGAAUCUGACUGCCUCAAAUGGCUAGAUUCCAAGGCCCCAAAUUCAGUUAUUUAUGUGAAUUUUGGCAGUUUGGCAUUCAUAUCACCCGAACAGCUUGUUGAGUUUGGUUGGGGACUAGCAAAUAGCAAGCUUCCCUUCUUUUGGGUCAUUAGGCCCGACCUGGUUGUUGGUGCAUCAUCAAUUUUGCCACCUGAGUUUGUGAAUGAAACUAAGGAAAGAGGACUAAUAGCAAGUUGGUGCCCACAAGAACAAGUCCUUGAGCACUCAUCAGUUGGAGGAUUUUUAACACAUAGCGGUUGGAAUUCAACCAUUGAGAGUCUAUGUGCAGGCGUGCCUAUGUUGUGUUGGCCAUGCUUUAGUGACCAGCCAACAAACUGUUACUAUACUUGUAAUGAAUGGGGUAUUGGCAUGGAGAUUUGUAAUGAUGUUAAGAGAGAGCAUGUGGAGAGGCUUGUUAAAGAGUUAAUGGAGGGAGAGAAAGGUAAGAAAAUGAAAAACAAGGUCAUUGGGUGGAAGAAACAAGCAGAAGAAGCCUCUAGCCCAUAUGGUUCCUCAUCCUCAAACUUGGACAAUUUUGUGCAUCAAGUGCUAUUAAGAAAAAGCUAGACGGGUGUCAACAGAGUCUAGCUCAAUGAAAGUGGGCAUUGACUUGCAAACUAGUGGUCUCAGGUUUGAAUCUUCAUGACACUUUGGUAGUGUGUAUGAGAAAUCCAAUCCUUUUGUAGUUUAACCUAUCACUUGUAUUUUUUUUUUAAAGAAAAAAAGGAGAAAAGCUAAACGGGCAAGUCAUUGGCCCAAAUUGUAGCUUGGAGCCCAAACUUGUUGUGAAUGUAGUUUUCUGUCUUUGAAUGCAUGUCGGUCUAAUUUGUUGAAGAAUAUAAAGUUUUAUAUCGUAACAUUGACUAAAUAAAAUAUACUAUAUAAUAAGUGAUUUCUUUACUAAUAUAACCGAGACUUUUUGUAAUAAAAUCUCACACCUAAUUUAACAUAAUUGUUCCUCAAUAUCCUCCGCAAAACGUUCUUUCAAUAGUUUAGUUUUGUUGUUUCAAUAGUUGAUUUCUCCAAUUUUCAAUUACCUUCAUUUGUCCUUUAACUAGGGAAAAGCACAUGUGUCGUGUAUCAUUGGAGAACCCAAUAGAAGUGACCCAACUGUGUUAUUAGAAUACUACGAUUUUCUUAUUUCUUCAUUUUAUAGCACAUCUAUUAUUUCACCCGAUGUUGGCGUGACUUGUGGAUAUUGACUUACUUUCCUUACACACCAAGAAUUCCUAUUAUAAUUGUAAUUGAUUUACUUUAAUUCAUGAUUUCCUACUGCAAAUAGAUUUAGGAAUUUAUUAUUUACUUCCCAUUCAGGUUUCGUUGUAUUAUAAAUAUGACCUCCUACAAGGAGAAGAAUACACAGAAAAUUCCCACAAACAAAUAUUCUCUCAAUAGUUUUAAUAUUUUAGCAUGGUAUCAGAGCCAGGUUCGAUCUAGGGACCUGUGCUUGUGUUCUUCUUGAAAUUUAAGUGCUCUUCUCCCCCCUUGAGAGGGGGGGGAGGGGAGUGAAAGGGAUAUGUUUAUUGACCUAUCCCAAUUACCUUGACAUAUUUCCAUGAAGAUGUUGCUUAUUUCUUGACUCCGACGACCCCUUCUCUUCAAGGGGAGAGGAAGAUUGAAGAGAAGUUGUGUCUGAGUGAAUUAGCUAAAGUUUAUAUGGAAGAAUUUAUUGUUGCCACUGCCGUGCUCAUGGGGUUUCGGUGUUCUGCCUUACCUAUUGCCGUGCUCACAGGGUUUCUGUGUUCUGCCUUAUCAAUUGCUGUGCUCACACAGUUUUUGUGUUCUGCCUUAUCUACUGCCGUGCUCAUAGGGUUUCUGUGUUCUGCCUUAUCUACACCCGUGCUCACAGGGUUUCUGUGUUUUGCUAUGUGCCCUAUUUUUUAGGGUUUGCUCUUGUGUUUCCGCUGUGAACUUUGUUUUAGUUUGUCACUUGUUUCACUCGUGGUUGACUAAAAGAUUUUCUCUACAAUUGGUGUUUCUCAAGUAUGGUGUCCUGUGACUCACUUGUCAAAUUGGGCCUGCGAAAUAUCUUUGCCCAACUUGAGGGGGAGUGUUGGCGAGUCCUUAUUUCAUUAGAAUUUUGGUUACUUACCAAUUAUAUUUUGUCCUAUUGUAAUAGAGAUUAUUUUAUUUAGUGUUAUGGGGGUUGAUGAUUUUUUCAACCCUCAUAGAGGUAGCACCACCGACUCAUUCUCUCAUUCUCUACCAACCAUCGUUGAGUUGAGUGCCCAGAUGGCUCCGCUCCUAUAGAUGCAGACUUUUACCCCGAACCUAAUCCAGAAUCAGGAUCCUCUUUUGACGACCCCGACCCCGACUCCGACUAUGACGACAACGACCUCGACCCCGACUCCGAAGACGACCUCGACCCCGACCCCGACCCCAACUCCGAAGACGACCCCUACCCCCACUCCGAUGAUGACCCCAACCCCAAAUUUGGCUCUGAUUCAGACCCUGAUCUCGAUUUCAACUCUGACUCCGGCCUUGACUCAGGCUCAUAUUCCGAUCCCAAUUCCUACUCAACUGUAUCCUAUGCAUCUUUCGCUGCACAGAUUAUGACUUCUCGACUAACGACCCCGACACAUGGACCAGAUUGCGCAUUUUGUGAAAUCCGAGGAUCAAUUGACGGAUAUUUUGACAAAUGCGAUUUUCAGUAAAGCAUUCCACAAUUCACUAGAUCAGUUGGGCAUUGGCGACAUCUAUGCACCAACGUGAGGGGGAGUGUUGGCGUGACUUGUGGAUAUUGACUUACUUUCCUUACACACCAAGAAUUCCUAUUAUAAUUGUAAUUGAUUUACUUUAAUUCCUGAUUUCCUACUGCAAAUAGAUUUAGGAAUUUAUUAUUUACUUCCCAUUCAGGUUUCGUUGUAUUAUAAAUAUGACCUCCUACAAGGAGAAGAAUACACAGAAAAUUCCCACAAACAAAUAUUCUCUCAAUAGUUUUAAUAUUUUAGCACCCGAUGUUUAUAAUAAGAGAUGCCAUUGGACUAUUAUUUUGGACCAUCCUAAAACAACAAACCAACAUUGAGAUAGAAUCUGAAUAAUUCAGGCCAAGGAUGACAUGUGCUAAUGCUACUUGCCACUAGCUAUAAGGCACUGGUUUCAAAACAUAAAAGCAAAUCAUAUCAACUUUAAAUUAAAAUUUAAGUCAAGUUAGAUUCUCCUCACUAAUUGAUAAUAAAAUAAUAAUUAAGAUGAAUUAUGUGACAAUUGGUUCUUCAACAGAGACUUAUUGUUACAUAAAUUUGGCUUCUUUAGCAUUAUUUAACUUGAAUUUACAAACUCUAAACUUAAAAUAAGUAAGGGGCUGGAGGAGACGGAGUUGGAGUGGUUGAUUUUUUAAUUAUUUUUUUUAAUACAAGCGAUAGGAUAAACAACAUUUCCGAUACAAGACAACAUUUCGCAUUGCAGAAGCCAUUUUUAUAAUUUUCUUCAAGCUUAUAAACCAAUGCAUUUGUGGGAGACACACAAAAACACAAUCUAAAAUGGGUUCCAAUGAAGUUGCCAAUAACCCAAUACAUGUUGUUUGCAUUCCAGUUCCAGCUCAAAGCCAUACAAAGGCAAUGCUCAAAUUAGCAAAACUCCUCCACCAUAGAGGUUUGCAUAUCACCUUUGUCAGCACAGAGUUCAAUCACAAGAGGUUCCUCAAGUCUCUAGGACCCAACUCCCUCGACGGCUUGCCUAGUUUCAGAUUCGAAACCAUACCAGAUGGCCUCUCAAGUUCAGAUGAAGAUACCACUCAAGACCAGCUCUUGCUUGGCGAGUCAAUCAUAAAUAAUUUACUGGCUCCAUUUCGAGACCUCCUCAGAAAACUGAAUCACACAGCAACUCCCGACAAUCCUCCGGUGACUCACAUCCUUUCGGAUGGUUUGAUGACGUUCGCGAUCACAGCAGCAGAAGAAAUUGGAAUCCCUAUAGUACUUUCGUUUAGUAUUUCUGCAAGCAGCUUCAUGGGGUAUAAACAAUAUCCCACUUUACUUGAAAAAGGACUUGCUCCACUCAAAGGUGAAUAUUACUCAAACAUUUACCUAUUUUUUGUUAGCUUUAUUAAAUUUUAGAUUCUUAACAAAUAAAAUUUUCCUUCACCUGUGGGGCAUUAUUGUAGAUGAGAGCUGCUUAACAAAUGGCUUUCUGGACAAGGUAAUAGAUUGGAUUCCAGGAAUGAACGGCAUCCGGUUACGGGAUCUCCCACACAACUUUAUGACCACAAAUCCAAAUGACAUCUUCUGGAAUUACUGCUUGGAAGUAAUGAGAAGGGUUGAUAAAGCUUCAGCAGUUGUUCUUCAUACUUUUGAUGCUUUGGAGCAAGAUGUUUUGGAUGCUCUCUCAUCCAUACUUCCACUUGUUUAUGCAAUUGGCCCUCUCCAAUUACUUCUCAAUCAGAUACCAGAGAACCCUUUGAAUGCCAUGGGAUGUAGCCUAUGGAAAGAAGAAACUCAGAGCCUCAAAUGGCUAGAUUCUAAGGCCCCAAAUUCAGUUGUUUAUGUGAGUUUUGGCAGCUCAGCUGUCAUAACACCCGAACAGCUUGUCGAGUUUGGUUGGGGACUAGCAAAUAGCAAGCUUCCAUUCUUUUGGGUAAUUAGACCUGAUCUCGUUGUUGGCGAGUCGGCAAUUUUGCCGCCUGAGUUUGUGGAUGAAACUAAGGAAAGAGGUCUAAUAGCAAGUUGGUGUCCACAAGAGCAAGUCCUUAAGCAUUCAUCAGUUGGAGGGUUUUUGACACAUUGCGGUUGGAGUUCAACCAUUGAGAGUCUAUGUGCAGGUGUACCUAUGCUGUGCUGGCCAUGCUCUACUGACCAGCCAACAAACUGUUACUAUGCUUGUAAUGAAUGGGAUAUUGGAAUGGAGAUUGGUAAAGAUGUCAAGAGAGAGCAAGUGGAGAAGCUUGUUAUAGAGUUAAUGGAGGGAGAGAAAGGUAAACAAAUGAAAAACAAGGUCAUGCAGUGGAAGAAACUAGCAGAAGAAGCCACUAGUCCACAUGGUUCUUCAUCCUUAAACUUGGACAAUUUUGUGAAUCAAGUGCUAUUAAGAAAAAACUAGAUGUUAAUUUAUCUAUGGGAAUGUCUUCAAUUGUCCUGUCGAUGAUAUAUCUUCUUGUUAUCCAUAAAUGUUGACACGAUUUUCUUGAAUAUAAAUAACAAGAAAAACAUUUACAAAGUAAAUUUGUAAUGAUUUGUCGGAUUCAAUCUAUCUAUAUGUAUUAUAUACACGAGAAGUGUUAAUUCGACUUUGAUAAUGUGCUUGUUCCGGCAAUUAUGUCGAAAUAAUCUGCAAUUCUUGCAUUUGGCCCAUCCAAUUCCAAUUCCAUGCACAGAUCAUAACACCAAAAUUAUAAGUAAAAAUGAAAGCUGAGUAUAUAUAUAUAUAUAUAUAUAUAUAUAUAUGAUAUAUUUGGUGCAUUUAGUAUAUAUGGAAUUACUGUAUAUUAAUGCAGUACGUACUUGAAGCUUGGAUUCAAGAAAGGCUAAGAGGAUGCUGGGAAUUAUGCCUCUAAUGCCACCUCCAUCAAUGCUUAGCACUGUCACCCUGCUUCUCUUUGUCAAACCAGUCGACAUUGUUCUGGUUCAAAUUAAAGAUAAACCACAAGGACUGGAAAGCUGCAUAAUCCGAGCCAACACAGCUGCAUUGAAUUCACCAGAAAAAAUUUAAAAAGUUGAACGAAACGGAGGAUUUAGGUGCAAGGAGGAUGAGAGUGAGAUCGGACUCCGACUCGGGCACUGAUGACGUUGCCAUUGAUGACUCGACCGCACUGCGUCAUAGUUAAGCUGUGCGCUCUGUGACGCCUGAGGAGGUUUAGUGAGAGGCAGAGGACUUGUGGCGCUGAGCAUUUCAAUAAUUUUCAGGAUCCAAAAUAGAAGAAUCUGACAAAUUUCUUCGGCACAACAAUAAUGGAAUAUAAAUUCUUGGUCAAAAUAGUGGAACCUGAUGCGAAUGGGAAGGGGCAAAAAGGAAAGAGCAGAAAAGGUAUAGAGGAGGGCAUUUUCGACAAUUCACUAUUCUUAAGGUCAACCAGUUAAGUAGGGGCACAAACGUCAUUUCACUAUUCCUAAUGAACAGUCCAGGAACGGCAACUCGGGGUUCAGUUUUAGUAUAUAUAUAAUAUAAUUUGUGCGACUCAUAAUAACAAAGACAGCUCCGUCUCAGACUCUCUCAUUUUAAUGUAGACAGCCUUAAAAAAGAAUUUAUUUAUUUUAGUUGUUUUGAUAAUAUAGGGGGCAAAUCUAUGCCUCAAGAUGCCAUGCUUAUCAUUAUCUAAAUUAGUCUUCGGCGGCUCAGAGGAGAAAAAACCUCAUGAUAACAAUUUUCAUUUUCAAUUGCAUAUAGCAGUCAUUCUCAUGAUAGCCACACAAAAACAAUCUUCACAAAAGAUGUUGCCAACCCUAUAAAACUCUGCAUUUAUGAGAGUGCAAACGCAUACACAAAAUACACAAAACAAAUAUUUAGAGUAAAGAUGGGUUCCAAGGAAGCAGUAGCCAGCAGCAAGCCUCAUGCUGUUUGCAUUCCUCUUCCGGUUCAAAGCCAUGUAAAGGGGAUGCUUAAGUUUGCAAAACUCCUCCACCACAGAGGUUUCCAUAUCACCUUUGUCAACACAGAGUACAUUCACAAGCGCUUCCUCAAGUCUCUUGGACCCAACUCCCUCGACGGCUUGCCUAGUUUUCGAUUCGAAUCCAUACCAGACGGCAUUCCAAGCUCAGAAGAAGACACCACUCAAUACAUUCGUUUGCUUGGUGAGUCAGUCACGAAUUAUUUACCGGCUCCAUUUCGUGAUCUCCUCAUGAAACUCAAUGGCACGGCCAAUAUUCCUCCGUUGUCUCACAUGGUUUCGGAUGGUUGGAUGAGCUUCACCAUCACAGCAGCUGAAGAAAUUGGAAUCCCUGUGGUACUCUUCUUCACUAUGUCUGCAAGCGGCGUCAUGGGAUAUAAGCAGUUUCCUACUUUGCUGGAAAAGGGACUUGCUCCACUCAAAGGUAAAACAAAAGAGAGAUUAUUUCAACAAACUUUAUUAAAACGACAAGUAUAAGUACCAAAUCAAACUUUAUUUCAACAACUUACAAAUUGUAUUGGAAACCUUGUCUAUUUUCUCAUUAUUGUUGAGGACAUGUGAGGUACAUAUAAAAGCUUACUUUUCUUGACUUGGGUAUUUGCAGAUGAAACCUGGUUAACAAAUGGCUUUCUUGACAAUGUCAUAGAUUGGGUUCCAGCUAUGAAAGGUAUCAGGUUAAGGGAUCUCCCAAACAACUUUAUUACCACAGACCCUGCCGAAGCAUCUUGGAUCUUCUGCUUGGAAGCAAUCCAAAGAUUUGGUAAAGGUACAGCAAUUGUUCUUCAUAGUUUUGAUGCAUUGGAGAAAGAAGUUUUGGAUGCUCUCUCAUCCAUGUUUCCACUUGUUUAUGCAAUUGGCCCUCUCCAGUUACUUCUUAACCAGGUACCGGAGCACCCUUUGAAGGCUAUGGGGUAUAGUCUGUGGAAAGAAGGAACUGAGUGGCUCAAAUGGCUAAAUUCUAAGGAACCAAACUCUGUUGUUUAUGUCAAUUUUGGAAGUUUAGCGGUCUUAACACCAGAACAGCUUGUGGAGUUUGGUUGGGGACUGGCAAACAGCAAGCUUCCCUUCUUUUGGGUAAUUAGGCCUGAUCUGGUUGUUGGUAAAUCGGCGAUUUUUCCACCCGAGUUUGAGGCUGAAACUAAGGAAAGAGGCCUUAUAGCAAGUUGGUGCCCACAAGAGCAAGUCCUUGAGCACUCAUCAGUUGGAGGAUUUUUAACACAUAGUGGUUGGAAUUCAACCAUUGAGAGCCUAUGUGCAGGUGUGCCUAUGCUCUCCUUGCCAAUCUUUACUGACCAGCAAACGAAUUGUCAUUGUGUUUGUAAUUUGUGGGGAAUUGGCAUGGAGAUUAGUAAAGAUGCCAAGAGAGACCAAGUGGAAAAGCUUGUUAAAGAGUUGAUGGGGGGAGAGAAAGGUAAGCAAUUGAAAAACAAGGUCAUGGAGUGGAAGAAACUGGCAGAAGAAGCCGCUAGUCCACAUGGUUCUUCAUCUGCAAAUUUAGACAACUUUGUGAAUCAAGUACUAUUAAGGAAAAGCUAGAUGUUACAUGUGUACGGAAUGUCUUUAAUUAUCUUGUCGAUGAUAUAUCUUCGUGUUCUUCAAAACUUUUAAUAAAAUUUUCUUGAAAUUAAAUUACGAGAAAACGUGUCCAAGGUAAUUUUGUAUGUAUGAUUUGUGGGGUACAAUCUAUAUGUGUAUCAUGUAUAAAGAAAUUCCUGUGAUUUGAUGUCCAAUUAAUCUUGAAUAGGAAAUGAAGUUUGGUCACAGGUGCUUGUACAAAUUGAGACCACAAGAAGUGUUUAUAUAAGUUCGAUUGUGGGAGGAUAUCAGUUGUGUAUGAUGCUGGAUGAGGACUGAAGGACUGAAGAAGUGGGUUAGGCAACUGGCAGACACAUUCGAACCAAAGACAGGACAUUAACAUCAUGAUAAAUAAUUAUAUGUAUUGAGUCCCGUUUUGUUUGAGGGAUCCCUCAAGUAAUGUUACUCAUGUCCUGCCUUGAAAUUUCUUCUUUAAGGUAUUCCAUGCUGCCCUUGCAGUUGUGGCUCCCAUGAUUCUUGGAAAAAGCGUAUCAUGCAAGGCUUGUUAUAAGGCCUUUGCAUCUUUUUGUUGAUUUUUCUUCAGUUGCCUCAACUGUUCUACGGUUGAAUUUUCUAGAUUAUUGAAACCAUUAUCAACUAUGUCCCAUAAAUCUUGAGACAUAAAAUAGGUCUUCAUUUUAAUACUCCAGAAGUUAUAGUUUUCUUCCGUGAAAAUAGGAAGAGGGUCAGAGUUUUAGCUAGUGGUUGACAUAUUGGUGGAUGACUAGUGAACCAAUGCCCAAAGUUGAUCAGAACAAGCUCUGAUACCACUGUUGGGUAAAUACAUAAUUGGACUGCUAGCUAUAUAUAUAGAGUAGCUAAGUCGGCAGCUUGCUUUGGAAAAGUCGGUUGCUCAUGCAAAUAACUUUUCCAAAGUCAUUUUCAGCCACAAUUGUUCUCCUUAUUCUAGAUUUCUAUAGUCAUAGUAUAUGGAUAUUUCUAGUGAUUUUAACUUGUUUAUUUUCUGUUGACCCAAAAACAAAACAAAAACUUAUCCACUUUCUCUCAAAUUUUCUAAAUUUUUCUAUAUUAUUCAAGACCUUUCUAUAUUAUUCUAGUACAAGUGUGCAUUAUUUGGUUAACACAGUCAUUGGCAUGAUAGCCACACAAAAACAAUCUUUUCGUUUUGGGUAAAACCCACACAAAAGAUGUUGCCAACCCUAUAAAACUCUGCAUUUAUGAGAGUGCAAAUACAUACACAAAAUACACAAAACAAAUAUUUAGAGUAGAGAUGGGUUCCAAGGAAGCAGUAGCCAACAGCAAGCCUCAUGUUGUUUGCAUUCCUGUUCCAGUUCAAAGCCAUGUAAAGGGGAUGCUUAAGUUUGCAAAACUCCUCCACCACAGAGGUUUCCAUAUCACCUUUGUCAACACCGAGUACAUUCACAAGCGCUUCCUCAAGUCUCUUGGACCCAACUCCCUCGAAGGCUUGCCUAAUUUUCGAUUUGAAACCAUACCAGACGGCAUUCCAAGCUCAGAAGACACCACUCAAUACAUUCGUUUGCUUGGUGAGUCAGUCAGGAAUAAUUUACCGGCUCCAUUUCGUGACCUCCUCAUGAAACUCAAUGGCACGGCCAAUAUUCCUCCGGUGUCUCACAUCGUUUCGGAUGGUUGGAUGAGCUUCACCAUCACAGCAGCGGAAGAAAUUGGAAUCCCUGUGGUACUCUUCUUCACUUUGUCUGCAAGCGGCGUCAUGGGAUUUAAACAGUAUCCGACUUUGCUGGAAAAGGGACUAGCUCCACUCAAAGGUAAAACAAAAGAGAUAUUAUUGAAGCAAUUAACUGUUUCAUUUUCUUAGUCUAAUCCCCUGUUUCUAAACAAAUGAAAGUUUUCUUGGGUUUUUAAUUUGAAAGAUUCACUAUUAUACCCAAUAUAAGAGUUCAAAUUAUAAAAAAAAACCUUAUAUGAAAGAAUGCUGCUAAAUGAACCCAAAAUUAACUGAGUACACCCUACUACCAAACUACUUAUUGAAUUACUAAUUUACCAUAAUAUAAAAUGACCAAAAAGGAUAUAUUGAAUUGUGAAACAAAUAAAAUUUUAAUAAGUACACCUUACUCACUAUAUUCAACCCUUAUCAGACGUAGAAAAAUCUUCGUAUUGCUUGGUGCUCACGAAUAACGUAGCGAGUACUAGUUUAGGAUUGGUAUUACGAAAUUAAAGAUGUUAAUGAAACUCAAAAUCUGAAAAAGGGCACAAAUUCAUGUAAAAAGAGAAACCUAGUUUAGGAUUGGUAUUAGAGUGUUGUACUAGGGCUAUUUCUGGUAGUUAAAUAGGAUGUACUUAGUUAAUUUUAUAUUUUGAUUAAAAUAUUAGGGUUAACUUAGAUUAUAGGGUGUACUCAGUUAAUUUUAGGGUUCAUUUAGCAGCACUCUAUAUGAAAUGGACUUUAGAAACACACUCAAAGUCCAUUUACAACAUAACAAAAAGGCUUAUAACUUCUUUUAAAUUACAAAAUUGUCAUUGAUUUCUUAAAACAAACCUAACCCCAAAAUCUCAUUAAAAAAAAGCCCAAAACAUUCAGUAGGGCAUCAAAGUAAUUUAAUAAUCAAAAUUAAAUUCAAUAAGGCCAGCUAUCAUUUUUUGAAUUUUUUUUUGGAUUUGUUUAUAGAUAUUAAAUGAUGUAGGAUUUAUUUAUAAUUUUAGUGCUAAGAAUGGGUAUAUGACUAAAUAUCUCUUUUAAUUUAUACUAUCUGGUAUGUAACAUCCCGACUCCAAAUUUAACCCUUUAUUUAAGUUAUUUAAAUUAUUUAAGGAAAAUUACAAAUUUACCCUUGAGAUAGGGGUAUUUUGGUCAUUUUCUUAUCCGGAGAGAGUUUGGGGCAGUGACUAGUAUUUUUGGAUAGGUCGUACUGAGAUGAGUUCAUAAACACGUACUGGACACGAAUCGGAGUUGUAACGAGAGAGAUAUGGUCAAAAGAAACCCAGAGGCACAAUCGUAAUUAUUUUGAAAUGAGAUUUUUAUAAAAAAAAUCAGAUUUCUCUCUCUCUCUCUCUCUCUCUCACUCCUCUUUCGCACGCGACGGCAGCUGGCCACGUUUUGGCCGGCCGUGCUCUCCUCCGGCCACCGAUGACGAUGGGACCAGUACCAAAAUGACCGGGCCAUCAUCCUCUUCCAACCCCAGCCGGCUUCCGCCUCCAGCCGCCGUGGUUUCGCCGGAAAAUGGAGAAGAAGCGGCGGGUGUCGUCCGAACUUCUCCGCCGUCGAUCUCCCUCCUCUGGCCACCGAUUCCGACGAGUGAGGUAUGGUUUCUCACCUACUUUUCAUGCUCUAGCUGCCUGUUGGGUAAGAUUGGAUCAAUUCUUAGCGUAGCCAAUUCGAUUUACAAAUUGAAAUUCGGCCGGUUUUGGGAUCUCGAUUCCGACCACCUCCGAUCAGUUUUUGGGGUAGGAGUUUGGAGCCGUGGUUUUGAGAUUCUCCGGCGACACGUUAUCACUUUGGGCACCCAGCGCUGCCGGCGAGUGGGCGAGGGUAGUGGAGUUGCACUGUGUCUCGAUGAGAUCCUUAGGUUGUCACGAGUGCGUAGGAUUUCACAGAUAUCUCAAUUCGGACGUCGUUUGACUAUCGAACGGACGAUCGCAUAUUGCGCGUUAUCCGGGUUCGAUAGAUUGGGACCGUUAAAUGGUCUCGAAUAUAAUAUAUGUUAAUCUAAGUAUUUCUAGGAUCGUGUAGGAAUUCGCAGAUUGUGAAUCGGAGCCCCGGAUGUUCUGAAUAAAUAACUUAAAGUUUAUGUUUUAUAAUAACCGUCAGAUCUUGCGAUCGUGAGCGAUCCGACCGUCCGAUAUGGACCAAACUUGCAGGACGAGUGUCCUAUACCUUAUAGAACCCAUAGGAACUUUCGGAUCGGAAUUUGGAGGUCGUUGGCCCCGUAGGCCCGUUUGACCAGGGUUAGAGUAGUUUGACCCUUAGUUGACCGUGAGUCUCCCGGAGAAAUCUCACCUUCCCAGGGGGAUUAUCGGGUGCUAGACUAUUGUUGAGGUUUACACAAUAUUAGAAUUAUAUAUAUUUAUAUACGUUUGUAAAGGUAAAAAAAGAGUCUAGAAUGUCAGUUUGAAAUGCUAUACGCACUACCUUAGGUACCUCUCCGGAUUUUGGUUACAUUACAAGUACCACCCUGUGACAGUUAGGUCCUACUUGGCAUAGGUUAUCCAGCGUGCGGACAGGCCCCAUACGUGGCAUUGGUUGUAUCGGCGUAUGGGGAGAUUACGUGAUAAUAUGUUGAGGUCGCACGUGGCGUAGGUUAUCCGGCAUGUCGACAGACCCCAUACUUGGUGUUGGUUGUACUGGCGUAUGAGGAGAUAUGUGAUAUGAUGUGCAUGUCUCACGUGGCGUAGGUUAUCCGGCGUUGAGACAGACCCCAUACAUGACGUUGGUUGUACCGGCGUAUGGGGAGAUAUUAUGAUAUGAUGUUGAGGUUGCGCGUGGCGUAGGUUAUCCGGCGUGUCGACAGACCCCAUACGUGGCGUUGGUUGUACCAGCGUAUGGGGAGAUAUGUGAUAUGAUGUGCAGAUCUCGCGUGGCGUAGGUUAUCCAGCGUUGAGACAGACCCCAUACGUGGCGUUGGUUGUACCGGUGUAUGGGGAGAUAUUAUGAUAUGAUGUUGAGGUCGCGCGUGGCGUAGGUUAUCCGGCGUGUCGACAGACCCCAUACAUGGCGUUGGUUGUACCGGCGUAUGGGGAGAUAUGUGAUAUGAUGUGUAGGUCUCGCGUGGCGUAGGUUAUCCGGCGUUGAGACAAACCCCAUACGUGGCGUUGGUUGUAUCGGCGUAUGGGGAGAUAUUAUGAUAUAAUGUUGAGGUCGCGCGUGGCGUAGGUUAUCCUGCUUGUCGACAGACCCCAUACGUGGCGUUGGUUGUACCGGCGUAUGGGGAGAUAUGUGAUAUGAUGUGCAGGUCUUGCGUGGCGUAGGUUAUCCAGAGUUGAGACAGAUCUCAUACGUGGCGUUGGUUGUACCGGCGUAUGGGGAGAUAUUAUGAUAUGAUGUUGAGGUCGCGUGUGGCGUAGGUUAUCCGGCGUGUCGACAGACCCCAUAAGUGGCGUUGGUUGUACCGGCGUAUGGGGAGAUAUAUGAUAUGAUGUGCAGGUCUCGCGUGGCGUAGGUUAUCUGGCAUUGAGACAGGCCCCAUACGUGGCGUUUGUUGUACCGGCGAUGGGGAGAUAUUGUGAUAGUAUGGUAUGGUCGCACGUGGCGUAGGUUAUCCUGCGUUGAGACAGGCCUCAUACGUGGCGUUGGUUGUACCGGCGUAUGGGGAGAUAUUGUGAUAGUAUGGUAUGGUCGUACGUGGCGUAGGUUAUCCGGCAUGUUGACAAGCCCCAUAUGUGGCGUUGGUAGUACCGGCGUAUGGGGAGAUUAUGUGAUAUACAGAUAAAUGAAAUAAGGUAUUGCAUAUGUAUGGACUUAGGUUUUAUGGAAGAACUACGUGUGGCUUGAUCCCUCAGUGAGGGUACAUAGACAGCCUAAGGUUAUUAGGUGCAGCCGCGGACAUAGAUGUAAUUGUGUUAGGAGGUUAAAACCUCGUAUGUUGAAAUUGAAAAAGUUAGAUGAUGUAUGUUGAAAUUUAGUAGUCAUAAUUUAUAUUCUGAAUUUAUCGUUUGCCUUGCUUAAGGCAUGAAUUGAUUUGCUAGCAUGCUUGGUAGUUGAGAAUUAUAGGAAGGCCGAAGGCUGUUUAUGUGAAUUGCAUGAAAUUAUAUUGUGCAUGCUGCCAGUUGUGAAUAUUAAAUUGUGUUUUAUGCAGGUUGUAAUUUUGGGAAAUGUCCAAUUUAUAGGGGAGACUCUGCCAAAAUUUCAGUAAAAAGUCUCGGUUUCUUAGUAAGUGGGCCCGACAUCGGGUUGAUGUCGGGAAGUUCACAGGAUCUACCUCGGUUUUUGGAAAAAUUGGGGCGGGACCUUUCAUGGUACUUGAAAUUUUCACUUGUGUCCUAAUUCAGUACAUGAACUAUAAUAAUAUGUAGGGUAUCAAACCAAACUUUAUUAAAACUACAAGUAUAAGUAGGGGUGGGCACUCAAACCGGCGAACCGGAAAUCCAAACCAAACCGCACCGAACCAAACCGGAAAAAAACCGAGUUGACCAAAAAGUCAAAAACCGGUCAAAAACCGAACCGGACCGGUUUGGACCGGUUCCGGAUCCGGUUCCAUGUCUUCAAAAACCGAACCGGGCCGAACCGAACCGGUGAAACUAAAAAAAUAUAUAAUUUCAAUAUAUAUAUUUAUAUUUAAUGCUAUAUUUUUAAUUUCACUAAAAAAAACAUAAUAUUUAUCCAAGUUCAAUGUCAAAAUAUCUCUAUUUUCUCACUUUAAUAUUUAUUUUUUAUAUGAAAUUGAAUAAUUUGUUAAUUUUCAAGUAAAAAAAUAAUAUUUCAGUUGAGAAUUGUAUUAAAAAGUAAUUUAAAAAAAUAAUUUUUAUAAUCCGGUUCAAAACCGAACCGAACCGGAACCGGACCGAAACCGGUUCAAACCGAACCGGACAGUUUUUGAAAUUUUUUUUAUUAAAACCGAACCGAACCAAACCGGAUGAAUAGUAUUGGAUCGGUUCUAAUUUGAGGCAAAAACCGGUCCAAACCGAACCGUGCCCACCCCUAAGUAUAAGUACCAAAUCAAACUUUAUUUCAACAACUUACAAAUUGUAUUGGAAUCUUUGUGUUUUUUCUCAUUAUUGUUGAGGACAUGUGAGGAACAUAUAAAAGCUUACUUUUCUUGACUUGGGUAUUUGCAGAUGAAACCUGGUUAACAAAUGGCUUUCUUGACAAUGUCAUAGAUUGGGUUCCAGCUAUGAAAGGUAUCAGGUUAAGGGAUCUCCCAAACAACUUUAUUACCACAGACCCCGCCGAAGCAUCUUGGAUCUUCUGCUUGGAAGCAAUCCAAAGAUUUGGUAAAGGUUCAGCAAUUGUUCUUCAUAGUUUUGAUGCAUUGGAGAAAGAAGUGUUGGAUGCUCUCUCGUCCAUGUUUCCACUUGUUUAUGCAAUUGGCCCUCUCCAGUUACUUCUUAACCAGAUACCGGAGCACCCUUUGAAGGCUAUGGGAUAUAGUCUGUGGAAAGAAGAAACUGAGUGGCUCAAAUGGCUAAAUUCUAAAGAACCAAACUCCGUUGUUUAUGUCAAUUUUGGUAGUUUAGCGGUCUUAACACCAGAACAACUUGUGGAGUUUGGUUGGGGACUGGCAAACAGCAAGCUUCCCUUCUUUUGGGUAAUUAGGCCUGAUCUGGUUGUUGGUAAAUCGGCGAUUUUUCCACCCGAGUUUGAGGCUGAAACAAAGGAAAGAGGCCUUAUAGCAAGUUGGUGCCCACAAGAGCAAGUCCUUGAGCACUCAUCAGUUGGAGGAUUUUUAACACAUUGUGGUUGGAAUUCAACCAUUGAGAGUCUAUGUGCAGGUGUGCCUAUGUUGUGUUGGCCAUGCUCUAGUGACCAGCCAACAAACUGUUACUAUACUUGUAAUGAAUGGGGUAUUGGCAUGGAGAUUUGUAAUGAUGUUAAGAGAGAACAUGUGGAGAAGCUUGUUAAAGAGUUAAUGGGGGGAGAGAAAGGUAAGCAAAUGAAAAACAAGGUCAUGGAAUGGAAGAAACUGGCAGAAGAAGCCGCUAGUCCACAUGGUUCUUCAUCUGCAAAUUUAGACAACUUUGUGAAUCAAGUGCUAUUAAGGAAAAGCUAGAUGUUACAUGUGUAUGGAAUGUCUUUAAUUAUCUUGUCAAUGAUAUAUCUUCUUGUUCUUCAAAACUUUUAAUAAAAUUUUCUGGAAAUUAAAUUACGAGAAAACGUGUCCAAGGUAAUUUUGUAUUUAUGAUUUGUGGGGUACAAUCUAUAUGUGUAUCAUGUAUAAAGAAAUUCCUGUGAUUUGAUGUCCAAUUAAUAUUGAAUAGGAAAUGAAGUUUGGUCACAGGUGCUUGUUUAAAUUGAGACCACAAGAAGUGUUUAUAUAUAUAACUUCGAUUGUGGGAGGAUAUCAGUUGUGUAUGAUGCUGGAUGAGGACUGAAGGACUGAAGAAGUGGGUUAGGCAACUGGCAGACACAUUCAAACCAAAGACAGGACAUUAACAUCAUGAUAAAUAAUUAUAUGUAUUGAGUUCCGUUUUGAUUGAGGGAUCCCUCAAGUAAUGUUAUUCAUGUCCCGUGUUAUAAAAUGAGGCUGGAUUCAUUAAAUUGGACUACAAUUCCACAUAUUAGAGGAAAUAAGUCCCAAGGGUGAUACUAGCCUAUGGGAUUGGACUAGACAUAGUUCCAAUCAUUUGGACAUCUACAAAGUUUGACUGUUUUCGUUUGGACACUAGUUUGAUACACAAAUUUGGUGUCACCUUGGAUCCAUGACCUCCAAAGUUACAGCAAGAAAAGCUCCGUCUGCGUAGCAAAGACACCUCUGUCUCAGACUGCUUGUUGCAUAAACCCUCUCCUAUUUGUCUUCUAAUUUAAAACCUCUCCUAUUUGUCUUCUAAUUUAAACAGCCAUACAAAAAUAUAUCAUAUAUAACAAUGUAAUAUAAAACUGCACCAAUCAUUUUAAUAAUUUUCAUUUCCAAUUGCAUAUGCCUGACUCCUUUGUAGGACUCAUUGUCAUGACACAGCCACACAAAAACAAAACAAAAAAUUGUUGCCAACCCUAUAAAAACAGUGCAUUUCUGAGAGUGCAAAACACAGAGAAAAAUAUACACACAACAAAUAUUGAGAGAUGGGUUCUAAGGAAGUAGCUAACAGGCCUCAUGUUGUUUGCAUUCCUUUUCCAGUUCAAAGCCAUAUAAAGGGAAUGCUUAAGUUUGCAAAACUCCUCCACCAUAGAGGUGCUCAUAUAACCUUUGUCAACACAGAGUUCAAUCACAAGAGGUUCCAUAAGUCUCUAGGGUCCAAUUCCCUCGACGGCUUGCCUGGUUUUCGAUUCGAAAAUAUACCAGAUAGCCUUCACAGCUCAGAUGAAGAUACCACUCAAGACCUUCUUUUGCUUGCUGACUCAGUCAGAAAAAAAUUUCUAGCUCCAUUUCAUGGCCUCCUCAAGAAACUCAAUCACACGGCCAACAUUCCUCCAGUGUCUCACAUCGUUUCGGAUGGUUGGAUGGCCUUCACCAUCACAGCAGCUGAAGAAAUCGGAAUUCCUGUGGUGCUCUUCUUCACUAUUUCUGCAAGCAGCUUCAUGGGAUUUACACAGUUUCCCACUUUGGUGGAAAAAGGACUUGCCCCUCUCAAAGGUAAACAAAUGAAGAUUUUCUUGGCUUUUUUACUUUUGUUUUUUGGCACUUGAAUUUUAAUGUGUCCUAACUUAGUACAUGAACUAUAAUAAUAGAUACCAAACCAAACUUAUCAAAACUACAAGUACCAAAUCAAACUGUAUUACAAGUACAACUUCCAAAUUUGAUUGGAAAUUUUGUGUUUUUUUUUCUUCUUCUCAUUAUUGUUGAGGACAUGUGACAGAGAAAGUCAUUGAACCAAUAGUGAAUAAAAGCUUUCUUUUCUUCACUUGGGUAUUUGCAGAUGAAAGCUUCUUAACAAAUGGUUUUCUGGACAAGAUCAUAGAUUGGAUUCCAGCAAUGAAAGAUAUCAGGUUAAGGGAUCUCCCAAACAACUUUAUGACAACAGAUCCCAAUGCCAUAUCUUGGAUCUUCUCCAUUGAAGCAAUCAAAAAAUUCGAUAAAGGUUCAGCAAUUGUUCUUCAUACUUUUAAUGCAUUGGAGCAAGAAGUUUUGGAUGCUCUCUCAUCCAUGUUUCCACUUGUUUAUGCAAUUGGCCCUCUCCAACUACUUCUUAACCAGAUACCGGAGUACCCUUUGAAGGACAUGGGAUAUAGUCUAUGGAAGGAAGAAAACGAGUGCAUCAAAUGGCUAAAUUCUAAAGAACCAAAUUCGGUUGUUUACGUGAACUUUGGAAGUUUAGCAGUCGUAACACCCAAACAGCUUAUGGAGUUUGGUUGGGGACUGGCAAACGCCAAGCUUCCCUUCUUUUGGGUAAUUAGACCUGAUCUGGUUGCAGAUAAAUCAACCAUUUUCCCAUCUGAGUUUGUGGCUGAAACUAAGGAAAGAGGCCUAAUAGCAAGUUGGUGUCCACAAGAGCAAGUGCUUGAUCACCCAUCAGUUGGAGGAUUUUUAACACAUAGCGGUUGGAAUUCAACCAUUGAGAGCCUAUGUGCAGGAGUGCCUAUGCUCUCCUUGCCCGUCUUUGCGGACCAGCAAACAAAUUGUUAUUGUGUUUGUAAUGUGUGGGGAAUUGGCAUGGAGAUUAGUAAUGAUGUCAAGAGAGACCAGGUGGAAAAGCUUGUUAGAGAGUUAAUGAAAGGAGAGAAAGGUAAGCAAAUGAAAAACAAGGUCAUGGAGUGGAAGAAACUGGCAGAAGAAGCCGCUAGUCCACAUGGUUCUUCAUCCUCAAACUUGGAAAACUUUGUAAAUCAAGUACUAUAUUAAAGAAACGCUAGGUGCUAAAUGUGUAUGAGAAUGUCUUUAAUUGUCUUGUCGAUGAUAUAUCUUGUUGUUCUUCAUGGCAGAAAAUGUUAAUGAGCUUGAGGUUGUUAAUAAUGAAGUAGUUCCACCUAGAACUUUAUUAGAGACUUAUUUGCAUCCUAGUCGUGCACCCAAUCCUUCAUGUAUCAUGUUCCCAUCUAACAUGCCAACAUAUGAGUUUAAACAUGGAAUGAUUCAAUUGUUACUUAUUUUUCAAGGCAUGGAAAAUGAAAAUCCUUAGAGAAUUUGAAGAAGCUAUAAGCCCCUUUCACAAUGGUCAACCUAUCGCAAUUAAUUUCAUAAGGUUAUUAUGAUUUUUUAUUUUUUUUUUCAUUUUCUUUGAAAGAAAAAGCACAAAGUUGACUACUCACUAAGGGCUAGGCCUGACCCUUAAUGAGUAUAGCCUUACGUUUUACUUUUCUUUCAAAGAAAAAAAAAAACUUAUGAAAUUAAUUGCAAUAGGUUGACCAUUGUAAACUCGGAAGUCUAAGUGUCGAGUGCGUUGUAAAAAAAAUAACAGACUUGGAAGAACAAGUGAGAAGGGAGAGAGAGCUCUUGAGAAGUUGGGAACUCCCGGUCCCGAGGUGGUUUUGAACAAUGCCGCAACACUCUAUUUAUAGGCUGGAGAUCAAAGCUAGUAGGAUGGGCAGCCGUUUCACUUCUCUUGUUUAUUCAAUUUUUAUGCCCUGCUUGCCCAUCACCAAGUAAAUCGCACUUCCCUUUUGUUAUGCCAAUCUUGUCCCUGCUUUAUUCUCUUUUAGAGCAGUUCCAGCGGCCCCGGGGAAGGUAGGGUUUAGGCCCAAAAUGGGCUUUCAGCGGACAAAUGCUGUCAAGGAUGUUGGUGGGCUCCACAAGCAUGGACUGGCGCUCAGGCAAAAUCAACCUUUGUUUUAGUUUGGGUUUGCUGAUGUCAACAAUAAAAAAAAAUUUCAAAAAAUACUAAAAAUUUCGGAAUUUUUUUUAAAUAAAUUAGUCAUAUUUUUCACUUCCACACCAAAAUUCUAUAUAAAUUCCUCUCCUCAUAUCUCAUGUGAAUAGUGGUUGCCAUGACAAUGGAUGAAAACACCACAAGCCUUUUGCAAGGGCUGCUACUAUUCACAUGAAUAGUAAUAGCCAUUGCCUCCCUUUGCCCUUUGUCAUAGCAAAUAGAUAGAAGUGCUCUUACAGGCUUACAAUUGUCUAUUCCCCACAUGAGCACCAUUUCUAGCUCUUAAAUUUCAUCAAAACAAACUGAAUUUAUCAAAUGAAAAGGACUAAUAAAUAUAUUCUAGGAAUAUAAAUUAAGAUACAAAAUGUGCUCAUCAAAUUGGCAUGGAGAUUAGUAAUGAUGUCAAGAGAGAGCAAGUGAAAAAGCUUGUUAUAAGUUUACCUAUUGGUCAUUCCAAUGUUAUAUAUUUUGUUUUGUUAUUACGUGCUUCAGUCACUCAUUUGGGAAUGCUUCUUUAAGAAGUACUUAUUUAGAAAAAAUUUUUAAAAAGUACUUAUGCUCAGUUUUAUUUAUUUUUUCUUUGAAAAUAUGUUGAAUUUUUUGUUAUAAAUUUAAGUGCUUUUUAAAAAAGCAAUUGGAAGUGCUAUAUGGAGAAGCACCUAGCACUUGUGUGACUUGGAAGCAAUUUUAAAUAUUUUUGGUCAAACACUAUCAGCAGGACUUUUGGUUAAGUAAUUUUAGCCCUUACAGAACAAACAUUAUUGGUACAAAUCGUCUUGCAUUCUGUACCCACUGCAGUCGGACAAAAAUUGAUGAAAUAAAUCAAAUGUUGUUUUUGUGAUUGAUUUUUAAGAUGAAAUAAACCAAGAGACUGGCAACGUUCACCAUUCGCAUAAAAUCAUCUGGUCAACUAGUGAUACAUCAAAGAAUUAUACAUAACUGGAGGCCAACAACCAAUGAGAAACCUUUUUUUUUCCCCUUUUUUACAAUUAAGGCCUAUAUAUAGGGGCCUAAAAACAUAAUGCCUUGUUCACGACCAAAAAGGGAUAAAGAAAAAAAAAAUUGAAAAAAAAAAGAGAAGAAAUUACAUUCCUAAUAACAAUGUCCAAUGGAACCUGAACAAGCAUAUACAAUAACAUGGUCUUUGACAUGUUUUGCUCCAUCUUACUUAUCAGUUUUCCUUGUUAAAUUAAAUUUCCUAGUGGUGUAGACAGCAUUUACUCUAAAAAAAACAAUUAAGGAAAAAUUAUAGAGUUGUAUUUUGAUUCUGAAUGGAGCAUUUCACAGGCAUUUGACUGAAGAAACAACAGUCAGGUACAGGGUUAACCGUUACAGGUAAAUUGAACUGUGUAAUUCGCUACAAGCUUCAACUUCAUGUGUGCACCGUGAUUCCACCCUGAAAAGAAAACAUAGGAUCGUCAUACGUUUUUUCACCAAAGAAAUCAGAGCCAUUAAAACAUAAACUAAUAUCUUAUGCACUUGAGUUAUUUCCAUGCUUCUGUAUGUUUUUUCUAGAGGCAGUAUGCAUAAGCAUUGCUCUGUGCUCGCCAUCUGCUGUUCCUCCACACCAAACUACUUAACUGAAGCUGACCCAAGUUGAAGGUUAGUGAAUUAGUUGCAUAUUUUAUGUUCAUACUAACCAGGGGAUUCCAUAAUCUUUGUGAUUAUUUCUGCCUUCGUUUAGUCGCAUAUGAUCUGACUCAUUAAUGCUUUACCUAGGUACCAUAACUAGGGGUCGCCUAGUUUAAGGGCCACAAAGAUUGGCAACAACAGAGCAUGCUUAUACUUCCUCUAGUCGAAUGAUAAAUACAUAAACAUGAAAAAAAACUGGGUGCAAAAGAAAAUAAGUUGCACUGUACUGCCAACAGACCAGAUCAAAUAGCUAAUGAGGAUCACAAAAACAUAAAUUGAAAUAAUUCAGCAAACUCAAAUCAAAUGAACACAGUUCAACCAAGUAUAGCUUAUAACCAUACGCAAAAGUGAAGUCUACGUUUUAAGAUUUUGAAAUAUUAAGUAGAUAACCCUUCUAAAAUUAUACAUCAAGCAAUCGUCUGGACAAACCUAUGAAGCACGUACACUCCUACAAGGUGGCCAUGGCUGUGUUGGAUACAGCAGACAUAAAGACAAUUUGCUCUCAAAUAUUUUUAUUCGGGGAAAAACUAUAUUUUCAAAAUGUAAUCUUAGGACUUCCUCAGAAGGAAAGGGACUCAAGCUAAGGUUUAUCUAUUUAUCUCUACAAUUAUAGCUGACUUAUUUCUCUCUCCAAUUAGCCUUUUAUGUUCAAAUAUUUGACAGUUUAAACACCAAGAGAAAAGCAUUAAAUUCAUCUGUUUACUCAACUAUGCAAAACAUCAAGAAAAUAAGGAUAAUAUUAGAGGCAUAAUACUACAAAUCUUAUCCACAAAUCACCAUAAAACGAUGAUGUCGAAAGCACAAUAAGAUUAAUUUAAUAAAACCCAAAGGCAAUAGAUCUUCAUAAAGAGAAACAAACCAGCUAAGCUGAGUGGCUCGUCUCACAAGAGGAAAAGGAUGGCUAGUUCCUAGCAUUCCAAAGCAUAUGUUGGGACCUGCAAUAAUUGAUUUUGGUAAUAUUAGUAACCAAAAUAUUAUUACAAAAACCAAAAUCACAUUCCAAAUCACUGCUCUGCCCCUGCUAUAAUCUCGAAAUGCACAAGAGAUCCAACAAUGUUGUAACAAUCACAAAUGAUUUGUUUGACACAACAAAACCGUGAGUACCAUGAAGAAGCAUGUAAUAAUGUUAAAGUCACGUUAAAAUUCACUAAGAAUUUUUUUCUUUUUCUUUUUUGGUUCAAGUAAAUGAACCGAAAUCAUUGUCCAACACAGCUGGACACAACUGUGCUACCUUAUGUUGCACUUCUCUCAUAUAAACUUUUUUCCACACUUUUUCCUCGGUAAAGAUUUAGCAAAGUUUGUUUUUCCCAGUUUUUUUAUUUGUUUGGCACUGAUUUCAAUUUUCUCGGAAUAGUCUGUAAAAUAAAAAAUACUGGAGAGAACCAAUUUAAAUUAAUAUGUUGAGAGUUUUAACAUUUUGUUCCUAAAAUAUCUCAAAGGUAGGCACCAGAAAUUUUUAGUUGCAGUAGAAGAAAAACAUUACUAGAAUAGACAGUACAGCACAAAAAGGAACACCUUUCAAAACUCAGGAGAAUGAACAGUUGAGAAAAGUAAUUAAACAUGUCAAGGAUGAAUAGUUAAUUUUGAUUUGUAAAGCAACUUUGAAAACAAAAACACGAAGGAAAGGCAUAAUUUCGUUAAGGGCUUUUUGUACCUCAAGCAUGUUUUCAUCAAGAAAAGCGGAUGUUGUAUGACUCAUUCCAUGAGAACUAUCAUAUUGGAGGAUCCGUAACUUCCCUUCCUGCAUCUCAUAACACGACUCGUAAGUUCUGGAAAUUGGCUGAGGAACAAGAAAACUAAAAGAAUCUUUCUGAAUCCCAAUUGCUUACCUUAGUUCCAUAGACAAGGCCACCUCCAACUGAAGGAUGAAAGCAAGCGACAUUGACUUCAUCCUCUGCACUAGGAAGGACUCUCACAAGUUCCAUAUCAGAAACUCUAUAGACCUGAAUAAUAAAUAUGAUUGUUACAUGAACAUUUAAAAUAAAUUUAUGCCAAAAUUCACCCUAUACCUACCUAAUACCACUGUCAAUUACAGUAGAGGACAACCAGAAACAACACUAACAUUAACGUAUAUAUCAUGCAUAGCAAUUGAAACUUAUAGUAGAACUACAAUGCAUAAUUACCAGGAAACUUUAAAUAAAGUUGAUAAACAUCUAUUUCAUACACAAAUAAUUAUUCAGCUCCAAAAUGACUUUUAGUUUACACCGUCAUUUAUUGCAUUCUAAGGUUAGUGUAAUCUAACUUAGGUUACAUAGAUUAGCCUCAAUCAUAAUUAAUAAAAAUUUCAUAUUAUCGUCCUUAUUAUAAGUAGAUUAAUUUUCACGCAACAUGUGACUUUUCCAGAUUGAUUGAAGCACCUGAUCAAAAUGAAACUUUGACACUCGAUCGCAGGCAAAACAAUUAAGAAAGGAGGGGAAAAAGAACUAAAAACUCUUACCUCCAGAAUGGUGUAAAUAGGCACUGUUGUCUCUCCAUCAAUGACAACACUCUUAAGAAGUGAACUGUGACGACGGCCAUAGGCAAGUAAUAUAUGCUCUGAUGUAGGAGAGAACUGCCAUGGUAAAUUCCAGGAUGAAAAACCUUUAGUAAGUGUCUGAUGAAAGUACAAAGCUUUUCUUGAUUUUUUUUUUUUUAAUAAUAUAAAAAAAAUGCUUAGAACUUCAAAUGAUUAGUUCAUGAAUCUUUUGCAUAUAAAUGAUGCACAGCAUAAAUCGUGGAAAUUGGGGAAUCAAAUUCCUGAGUUUAAUUUCCACUAAAAUAGGUGUCUUUCACAAUUUCCAUAGUGCCAUUUACAAAAUUCUGUCAUUUACAAAAUUGACAUACAUAAAUCCAAACACUGAAAUCUUCAAUUGCCAGAAAUUGAAAUUAUGGAAAUCUAAAUUCUGUCAUUUUAGAAUUCUAUGUAAUUAUCAAUUCCUUCAGCCAAACGGAGGGUUAUAGUUGGAAUGAUCAAUGAGAAACUAGCGAUCAACAUGAAAUUAUAAGUGUAUACAUAUCCAAAAUGCAGCUGACCUGAAUAGAUGUCAAGCAAUGGGCAGCUCUUAUUGCCCGGGAUGCAAGAACCAUGCCAAAUCUAGAUAAAUAGAAUGAACAUCAGGACAUAGAAAGAAAGAAAAUUCAUAUGGAAAGUUAAAGAGGAGGUAAGAAAAUAGAACGCAUAUUUAUAGGGAGUUCAAACUUACGUUGCCUCCUCAAGGGAAUAUAUCCGGAGCUCAUAUACGACAUGGUGAGCUGAAAUUGGAUGUCGAGUUGGAGAAGUUGCUGCCCCUGUGACAUCAUUGUUGACCUGGCUCUGUAAUCCAGGAUCAGCUUCCAUAUGGGGCAACAUACAUGCAACACAAGCGGCUAAAAACUUUCCACAAGGGGAAAAAUGGGCACCCAUUUCACUGUAACAGAUUCACAAGUAAAGAUCCAAAAAAGAUAUAGCCAGUAAUAAUACCAUCAAAGUCCAAACUAUCAUGUAAUGCUAAAAAGAAAAAAUACCCAAACACUUCAUGAGCAUCAACUAAUCAAGUUGAAGUAUCUGUUUGCGUAAAAAUGCAAAUUCAGUAAAAACAAACUACCAGUUGAUGUUGCAUCCUUCUAAAAAUGUACUUGCUUAGAAGACUUAAAAAUAAGCUCAAAGCAAUGUCUAAAAUUGAUAAAAUAAUAACAUGUCAUGAAAAUUGAAAACAGAAAGAAAAUUACCUACAAAGUACAGCAUGUGGAAUGAUUAAGCGACAUCUUUCUGCAUCAAGGGGAGCACAAGGAUUUUUCACAUCAUGUGGCCAAAUUCUGAGCUUCACAGUGCAAGGUAACUCUGCAGCUGCUGCUGCAGCAAAUGAGUUUGCAAGUUCAGAUUGGAUUCUGUUCACAACAGGUUGAGGCUCACUUUCACUGUGUGUGAUAUUAUUGAAUCCAGCACCUUCAUUAGACCCAAUUGUUGGCACCAUAUGAGUACGUGAAGUACGAUGCCGGGAACUAGAUCUUCCAGUACCCCUGGAUUGAUUCACACUGGUCGGUAUUACUGAGGAAGUUAAGGGAGCUGUAUUAUCCAUCUCACCGUGUGGAGAUGGAUUAUCAUGUGCAGCAUCACCUACCAGCCGCAUAUUCCGUUGGCUAGCUUGGGUCUGACCAAUUAACCACCCUUGUAAGAAAGGAAGUUCCCAAUAUGUUGAGUCACCAAAUGGGAAAAUAUGAUUACUUCUCCCUUCUGGUUGAAUUUCCAUAGGCUCCAAACUGUCCAUUGCAGGUUGAGAAACUUCAGUUUCCAUUUCACUCAAGAAAGGAUUAGUUCCUGUGUCUUCUGGCACUGGAGAAGAGCUAUUAGGUUCAAUUGGGGACAACAGAAGUUCAUACUGCCCUGAAGGAGUUGAAUAUGUUAGAAGCCGCACUGAAGCUGAAGGAUCAACUCUUUGUUGUGCAUUACUUGAACCAUUGUCCAGAUCACUACGCUGCAUAGAUAUUCUCCCAUUAUCUCUAGCAAAUGAAGGCCAUAUCAGAAAUGGUAGAGACAUAAGAGGUAGUCCAUCUGCCAAACCAGAACGAUCACUAGAGUGAGCAUCUGCCAAAUAUACAGUAGGUGGAGGAUAGCGCAGGUAACCCGGAGAAGUUGCAAGUGUCAUCGAGGAAUCUGAUGAGUCAAGGUCAUUGACCUAUAAAACAGAAAAAUGGCAGACUUAAAAGACAGUUGAUCAUAGAAACAGAUUAAUAUGACUCCACAAAAAAUUACCUCGGCAGUUAAAAGAAACGGAGCUGCAUGCGGGUGAAAAUGCACAGCCCGAAGUGAACGUCGUGUUUUCAGUACUAUGGUUGGUGAGGAUGUCUCCCCUCUCUUAUUGUAGUGCCAUAUGUAUAACUAAUGCAAGAUUUAAAAGGUUAAGUCCAUUAAUGAAAAUAAAAAUAAUUAUGUCAAAUUUCCAACUAAAAGCUCUUACCUUGUGACCUGACGCAACAGCAAGAAGCUCACCUUGGGCAUGAAAAGCUAUCGAAGCAAUGGGACGCACUGUGUGGAGGAAAACACACUAACAAUCAUAUCCACGACACAAAUUUAAUCAAAUAAGAAUUCAUUGUUUGUAAAUCACUAUGAAUGAUAAUCCACAUAGAUACUUACAAAAAUCACGUGAUCCUAUACACUCUGCCGUGUUUGCAUCCCACAAGCGAACUUCAUGAUCCAAACUUCCGCUAGCCAAAAUGUCUGGCUGCAAAGGAUGAAACCUAACCUGCGAAAGCACAACCAGCUAAUAAGAAAAGCACAACCAGCUAAUAAGAAAAGCACAGCCAGCUAACGAGAUGAAUCCAGUAGCUAUGCUGAAUUGUCAGAUCUGCUAACCAGUAAAUUUGUUUCUGAAUAAAAUAGCUAGAUUUAAGUGGAAACACCCUAAACAGAUUUGGAUAAAGUAACCAAAAGAAUUUUUAUCAAAGCAUAAAAUUUGAAGAGGAUUUUGGCCUCAUAAACAUAGAUGGGUAUCUCAUAAAACAGAAUAUGGAUGAAAAAGAAGCUUCAAUGUGUCACUAAACCUCUACCAUGUUUGUUUAAUAAAUAGUUCACAACAUCUUGCAGAUGGCUGAAGCAAGAAGCUAAUAAUCAUUCAAAGUCACUUAUUCUCACCAAGAAUAAUAAAUAAAUAAAGGGAGCUUUAGGCUUACCACCCAAGGUGUCCUACGGUGACCACUCAACACCUUUAAGCAGAUCCCAGUUCGGCAAUCAAUAAUCUUUACAGUAUGGUCUCCGCUGCAGUUACAGUUGCAUAUUGCAAAUUGAUAAAAUGAAACAUUUCUCGGAAUAAAUAUAACUCAACCCUACGCUUUAGCCAAACCCUUGUACCACAGUGAAAAAUAUAUACACAAAGCAGAACUUACUGAGUAGAAGCCAGUGUCUUUCCAUCGGGGCUGAAGGCUGCUGCAAUAGUUGACCGUGGAGGUGGCACAAGCGGACAAUAUCUGGCAGACAAAUGCUGUAGUGACUCUGCCUCCACCCUGUAGUCAAUCCAGUUUCAAGACACAAACAGAAAGAUCAACUAAAUGCAAAAUGAUUCUAACAAAGGAAAAGGCAGUAUGCUUUAUUUUUAUUGCAUGAACAUUACAAAAGAGAAACUAAAAAGAACGGGGGCUGAUUACCAUGAGACAAGGCCAUGUCUAGCAUCUCUAGCUGCUUCGCACCUUGAGCCAAUAGAAUCAGAAUGAGACUUAGAAGCUUCCCCCCAUAGUUUCUUUGACGAGUUUUUUGUUUGAGGAGAAACCUCUCUCCGUGCUAACAGUCUAAGGACAUUGCUAACACUGCCAGAAACAUCAUAUACAUGCAAAUCAGUUUUGACUCCAGAAUGCCCAACAGGCACACCUUAAAAUUAUCAGUGGGUAAUUAACAUAUUGAUCAUUUAAGAAAAUCAAAACCCAAAUCCACUUCUGGAGGCAAGAAAAUUACUUUAAAAACACUUGUAACUCCUCAAUUUUCAACAAUUUUGUCCUUAAUUCUAACCAAUUAUGAUAGCUAAUUAAUUGAAACAUCCCAUUUAGAUUGGAGCUAAUUAAAGCAAGAAAAUUAAAGCAUGAACGGAAUUAGCUACAAUAAAUUUUUCCCAGAAACCUUAUUCACAGAACAUCAAUUGGGGAGUUGAAUUACACGAAAACCAAUAUAAAAAAAACGUAUCAAAAUUCUAAAAUUUACCUGUGCUUGCAUGGAUGGGGCUGAGGAAUGCGCGGCACAGAGGUAGACGGAGCAUUGGGCUCGUCGGCCCACAAAGAACCUGCCCUCAUUAUUUUCCAGGGAAAAUGUCAUAAUCUCAGCUUUUCCGGCAUUCUACGGAAAAAUUCAGAUUGAUAAAUUUAAAAAAAUCAACAAACUUUCACAUGCAAAUCAUUACGUCGUGUAAGCGUAACCUAGGAGGAUUGGGAAUUAUUUGAAUUGAAGGAAGGGGUUUGAAUUGAGGUUGAGGGCAUGGAUUCUUUGCGAGCGAGCGUUGCGUAGGCUCGGGUGCGGAGCGAGAAGGCGAGAUCUCUGGUUGACGAGAAAUGGAAAAUUGAGAAGGGAAGUCAGUGGCCGUGGAAUUUGGAUUUGUUUUGGGAAAAUUCCGUCUUGGGUUUCUGUGAUGGGCAUUGGACACAGAAGGAAGGAGGGGGCUCUAGGCGGCUAGGGCCCUAGUGACUUGUAUGUUGGACGACAAUGCCCUUGGCCCCCUCAGCCCUUAUGUGUGGAGUCGUUGGAAACCAACGACACGCGUUUUGAGCUUCGUUAAACGGCAGCCUGAACAAACAAUUCCUUACUCUUGUCAAUUUCUCUCUACUAUUUGCUCCACAUUUAUUGUAUAGAACAAGCAUAUUAACUUCCUUUCUUCGUACAACUUAUUGUUUGAGUAGAAUUCCCUACAAGAUGCUACGAGUUCGUUUGAAAUUACUUUUAUAGGAAGAAUUUCUGCUCAUAAAUACAACUAGCCUCCCUGCACGCGCUUCCGCGCGUGCGAGAGGCUUUUUUUUAAUCAUGCGCUACGCGCGACUUACAUAGUUUGACAAAUAUUUUUUCGCAAUUGUAUUUAUAUAGAUGUCCAUUUCAAUAGUUUCAUAUUUUAAUCGCGUGAGUCUGAUGCAUGAUCGUCUUAAAAGUUUUCCUUUUAUCGCCUGUAUUUUUCUAGACGUCCAUCUUAACAGUUUACAUGUUAUAAAAUAAAAAAAGAAACUGUUAAGAUGGACGUAUAGAAAAAUACGGGUGGUAAAGGAAAAUUUUUAAAACGGCGAUAUAUCACAUGCGUGCGCUUAAAAUAUGAAACUGUUGAAACGGACAUCUAUAUAAAUACAAUUGCGAAAAAUAUUUGUCAAACUAUGUAAGUCGCGUGUAGCGCGUGAUUAAAAAAAAACCUCUCGCAUGCAUGUGAUUAUCAUAGUUGAUCAUAUUGAAAAGAAUUUAAAACAAAUGCAAGAACUAAUUUAAAUUCCUCUUUGUAUUUAUUGAUAACAAUUAUCAUUGUUAACCAUUGAACCGAAUUUGGAACAGAUGUAAUUGAAUAAGUCUUUAUUUAAAACAAAACUCGUUACACCAGAAUAUAGUAAUUGAAGCUAGUAUUGCAAUGUUGACCAACAAAAAAAAAAAAAAAAAAGCUAGUAUUGCAACCAUUGAAAAAGGAAAAGAAUAAACAAAAAAUUCAUGACAAUUAAAAUCCUUUUAGCUACUGCUUGUACAUAAACCUCCUCCGGCAGCACUUUUAUGCCCUCCUACUACUAUCUUCUUUGGUAGCCUCAUGCAGCAAAUUGGAUCUGCAUUUAUAUUAUUUUUUUUAAAAAAAACAACCAAAAAAAAAACUUAAUAUGAAGCAAGAUAUUAAGAAUACUAAAACAAUCCAUCAAAACAAUAGACUUAUGUUUCGGAAUAAGUCUAUCGCAGCGUGUCAUUAUGGGUGUGUUAUUAUCAGCUUCACCACGCCCUUCAAAUUCUAAAACAGAUUAGCCCUUCAAGUGUUUGGUUUAUUCAAAGCCAACAACUUUAAAGUUACAUAUAUGACAUUCCUGGAUAAAGCAACUGCCAUAAAUGAGAGAUGACAUUCUUCACAAACUUUAAUUUUCACCAAAACUUAUAGCAUCCAUAUAAACAUCAUUAGGGACAAAAGCAGUUUUCAGAAAUCAAAUUACACAGUUUAUAUAAUUUUUGACAGGAAGAAUGAGAAAAGCUCACAGUGUAAUUGCCACCACAGAAAAUUAUGUCCCUUCUAGCAUCCAUAUGAAAUAACCUAAUAGAAACAUUGAGAAAUCGCCCAAUUAGUACAUAGAAACACAGAAUCUAAAGCUAGAAACAUAGUUUCUUUUGCAUCACGACACCUUCACCUAAAGCGAACACACAGCCACACAAUUGUUUAAACCAAACCAUAAACUUGCAAUUUCCUUUUAACAUGGCCAAAAUACCGACACCUCCAUCUGCAUCUCCACCACUCUAUCACCCUAAACACUAAAACCACAAUAAAAUGCAUUCUACCAACGAAAAAUAAAACCCAUUAAAAAAAUGCCAGAUUCCAACAGCUGACCUGAAAUUGGGAUUUGUUAUACAGAAGCAAUUCAAUUACUGAAAGCGAAAAAAGACAAAUAUGUCACUCAAAACAAAAAACAAAAAAACAAAGGUAUGAAUAAGGUACCUUUGGACUUGUCCAUGAAGAAGAGCGACUUUGGUUCACUGCUCGAAGAAGUCAUGAUCAGUGCUUAUCACUCACCAUGAUGCUUCCCUUUUGUUUUGCUUUCAUGUUAUUCUUGAACUCCCUCCAACUCUGAUCCUCAUUUUGCUUUUAAUUCCUGUAUAAAAAAUAAUCCCUUGAGAAAAAAAGAAGAAGAAAAAAUCAAAGCAUAAUCUUAUUCGUAACAUAAAAAAUCGAAGUUGAUGCCUGAACUGGACACUUUACAUCAAUAUGAGACUGAAUCUGGAUCUAGAAUGACCUGGACACUUGACAAAAAAUAAACACAAAGAAAGAAGAAACUAAUAAUGAUAGUGUAAACAAAUAACAAAUGUAAACCAACACCCAAUUCCUGUCAGAAACAACCCAAAAGUAUCCUAAAGGGUGAUUUGUUUGCUUUAUUUUUCCUUUGUCACCUGCAUCUUCCAGAAAGACAAAAAUAGAAAUCGUGGAUUCUCACUAACACAUGAACGUGGAGAAAUAAAGCCAUGGCUUUGUUAGGCACAUUUAGAGGCCUAAAUUAUCAGCCGAAAACAGAACACCUAGUUACAGUAGAGCCAAUAUUAAAAUGUCUAAUUUUUUUUUUGUUGGGGGGGAGGGGAAGGGAUUGUAUAAUAAUGGACAACUUUUGAAAGAACCCAGUAGGAAAAAAUCAUCUUCCAACUAAACUAAUGUAUGCUUAUUGGAAACUUAAAAUACAAAAUAUAACAAAAUGAAGAAUCAUUAACCUUAAAUAUAGUUUCCUCUGCGUCUUCUGGAACCAUUAUGCUUCAGAGAGUGCGAGGUGAGAGGCGAUUCCAUCUGUUGAGAUAAAAUUCCAAAGACUUUUUAAUUUCAUAAGUCAAACACAUAAAUAAUUACAAACACAAACACAGACCUAGACCCUAGCCAAAGUUUCAGUCAAUCAAACAUAAAUUAGGGAUAGCUUUGUGUGAGAGAGAGAUUCGUACCAUUUAAAGAAUUGAUGCUCUGCAUAUUGAAGAUUAAUAAACAGAAAGCAUGGAACCGGAGUCAUUGAAGCAAUUCUGGACUUUGAGUUCUUGAACUAAUGACUGGACCCUGAAAUUUGAAGAAGAAGAAGGUGAGAGCGUAAAAAAACUUAAAGGAAUUGCUGCCCUAUAUGGAUUAAAACUAAAGAGAAAGAGAACUGGUUAUAAGAUAACUAAAACUAAAUUUUUUAUUUUUUUCAUUUGAUCCCUUUUCUCAGAAACCAUACAAUAAUAAAAAGGCGGCCAAAAACAUAAUAGUGAAAUCAAACUUACACACAUCGUUGAGUUUUAAAAUUUAUUCCCCACUCCACUGAUUCCAACAGUUUUCUCAAACUUCGGUUCUGUUGAAAAGGUCUCAAGCAUGCAAAGCACAGGGUGAGAGGCUAAUAUCCAUAUAACAUGAAUCCUAGGAAGAAAUACUUAAGUUUUGUGCAAGCCUAAACACAUGAAAACUUGACCGGACUUGGCAUCUUGAAGCAUCGCAUACUCGUACAUGAAACUAUUAUUCAAAAAGUCAAUAUAACAAAGAAAAAGAACUAAAAAGACAAAAUUUCACCAACACUAAAAAAUCUUACAAAUUGAUACAACGUACAAAUCUCUUCACUGUUCUCACUUCUAAUUUCAUUUUCACCCUCAUUAUGGAAUUGUUGCGUUCAUUGAAAUUAGUUUUAUUAUAAAGAACUAAGCUUUUCUAAUUUCUGUUCAUUUCCCAAUUCUUAUUUACAAAGCAAAAUUAGAUAAUACAAAAUAAAACCGACCAACAAAGUGUUCAAACUAAAAUCAACUUUGGCAUUUUAGCAAACACUUGGAAUGCUAAGCUGAAUAUAUGCAAGUGAAUAAUCCAACUAAACCCUUACAGAGGAAACAGUUCAAAUAUGAAAGAAGCAGAGGCAGGGCGUCAUAUUACCUGAGACUGAGGGUUGGUGAUGCGAGAUGGACCGUCUGAUUUAGAAUCUGAGUAAACGUCGAUCGGUGUUAACAGCAUCAUACCAUAAUUUUCUUGCCUCUCUCAUACACUGCAACAUCUUACAAAUACUGAAAAUUCACAAAAAGAAAAAAUGAAAAUAAGCACACAAAAUCAUACCAUAAUUUUAUUCCAAUUUUCUGGAAUAAACACAGGCAAAGAGAAAAUCAGCCACACAAAGACAUGAACUACCAGAUUGAUGAGCACACUGGGGGUUCCAAUAUUGAUUGCUUCAGCUCUUUUUCCUUCAAUCUUCCUCCCUGUAACAACAAACCAAACUCAAUUUAUGAUUUACUUCUCAAUUUUCGACAUCACAAAUGAAGAAACGAACCUAGAAAAAAUAAAUAAAAACCUCAAACCUUUUUAUGCCGUGAGUAGAUGAGGAUUCUUGCUCUGCGAAACAUGGGAGGGGAGGAAAUGCGUUUCCAAGUUUGAGGGCCAUGGUGGGUUUUGGAUGGUUUCAGUUUUGCUUUCAUCUUUUUUGAAUAGAACGUGCCAGAAGAAACUGAUAGGAAGAGCAACUGCUCUGGAGUGGGGUCUGUUAAACUUUUUUCUUUUCUUUUUCAGUUCUUCAUAAUUGUUCUUUUACAAUUAUACCCUACUUUAAUUAUAAUCGGUGCGUAUUAAAAUUUUAGUGUAUCAAAGAUAUUUUCAGAAUUUUGAAUGUUUUAUCAUUAUCAUCCUUUUGCUUUAUAUAUAUACUAACAUCUCCAUACGCGCUUCCGCGCCUGCGAGAGGCUUUUUUUUAAAAAAAUUUAAAUUUAUUUUAGAAUUAAAAAAGAUAAUGGGUAGUUGUGUUCCCUAAAAGUAGGAUCCAUUAUCUGCUUUUUUUUUUCUUUUAAAAAAAAAAUAUGAAAAAGUGUAAAUUUACCUCAUUAUCCUCAUUUAAUUAAUAAUUUGAAUUCUUAAUGUUUGCAUUAACUAAGGGCAUUUUUUGGUAUUUUGAAUGUUUCACCAUUCUCUGCCUUUUGCUUUAUAUAUAUAGAUACUAGAACUUCAAAUAUAUCCCGUACGCAAUUAACAAGGACGAGAAUUAAGUACUCGUAAAAGACAAAUCAACCCUCAAAGUUUGAUCAACGUUAAAUGCUAGAUUGCCCAAACUAAGACUCCUCUUUACUAAAUUCAUGCAAUGCAUACUUUAAAAUUCAACUCAUCAAACUUUGGGAAUGAUGCGAGGUUCAAUAAUGUAUUGUGGAAAAAUCUUUCCUUGUAAGAAAUCAUGCUCCAUAACACUAUAUCAUCUAUAAGAUGUGCAUAUAGAUUACAUUGUGAUACUUUAUUACUAUGCUUCAAGAUGUGUAUUCCAUCUUUUUUGGCCAUCUCCAACUAAUAUUUUGGAGCAAAUCACUCAAAAGGAAAAUUUGUGAGCUUCAACCAUUCAUCAUCUUUCUAUCUCCAAAAGAGCAUAUUUCAAUAAUCUUUUGACUUUAUAAAAACUAAAACAACUAUCCCAUUUUUCACUCAAUUAUUAAAAACAAAUUCACAGCAAUUUUAAUAAUCAACUUUGAAGUUGGCCCAUCUCAUUUGUCAUGGUUUUUCUCAUUUCUUACUUCAAAGGGAAAUGAUGAUCAAGUUUUCCUAAUUAACUAGCAAACUAGGAGAAAAAUGAAUUUGGGGAAGUGGAAGUGAUGGAAGAGGAGGAGGAAAUGUUAAUUCAUUCAUUCGUCAUUGCCAAUCUUAUCAUUAGCUUACUGCCUCAAUGAAGAAGAUGAGGCUGAGGUUGAAAACCUACACACUGCUCGUGAGUUUUUCUCUUAAACUUCAUAUUAUAUCAUUUAAUUAAAGUUUGUUCAUCUUUCUAUUGAUGCAUAAAUUUGGUUCAACAAAAGAUGAUAUUUUUGAGAUCGAGGUCUGAUAAUUCUUCCUGACUAAAUCAAUGUAACUAACCAAGUCGUCCUCUAAAACCUGCAAAACAAAAAAAGCUAACGAUAGGUGACACGAUGUGGUGCCGGUCAAGGACCCUCUGAUGCUUAAGUCAGUCGAUUGUUUGAGAGUAAAUUGCACAAUAGUUUCUGAUGCUUAGAAUUGCAUACCUUUGAUGAUGGGUCUUUUCAGCCUUUUUAUAUCAUCCCAAACCACCUAGUCCUUCUCGGAGUAGAACUCCAUAACAACCUAGCCCUCCUUGAACUAGGAAUCCAUAACAACCUAGUCCUCCUUGGACUAUGACUCCAUUUAGAUAGGCGUAUUGGUGAUCUCGAAACAUCCUAGCUUUUCCAAUACUAGGAUUCCUUUGAGUGAAAAUCACAUAAAUUCGGUUGAUGUUAACCUUAUGCACAACAAGUCCAAGCUCAUGGACCAAUGGGCCCACAAGCCCAUUUGGGUCGAGAUGGGGAAAUAUAUGGUGAUUAGGCUCAAGCCUAGCUCGACCACUAACACCAAGUUCAACUUUAAUGUGUCUUUCAAUUUAUGUGCAGAUUACAAAAGGAAAAAAGCUUUAUAGAUAAUUACUAAAUUGUUAUUCAACUCCAAGUAUGUAUUUGUCUAUCCCUAGCAAAUUUUCUUGCUAGUAUGUAAUUGUGUAUCCUUUUGUUGCAAUUCUGAACUCCCAUGUAUAUGAUUCUUAAUUGGUUUGAUUAAUAGAUUGCUUUGAAUUGAUCGCCCAAUUUGUUUCAGUUUAUAAGUUUGAGAAGAUGUUCGUAUUUGUUCCGAUUUAUGGAUGAAUGAUUGCUUGAUUGCAUAUAUUGAGAAAUAUAUUUUUUAAUAGUAUAAAUGAUGAGGUUCUUAUGCAACGAUUUCAAAUUUUGAAAACUCGUCGAGGACAACUAUGAUUGUAAUGAAUAGGAAAUAUGAUUUUGGAUUUUUUUUUUUUAAUGUAUUAUGAAUUUGAAUUUUUUAUCAUUUAUAUUUUAUGAGAGGCCCCCACACACAUGAAAUCCUAACUUCGUCACUAAUUCGUCCUCACCAAAAAUUUCAAGGAUAACAAAAAGGAGUGGGACGAGGAGGAAAUGGGAAGAGAGGAGGGAAGAAAAGGGAGGUGCAGCGAGGGAAGGGUAGAGAAAGGGGAGAAAGGAGGAAAAGGUAGGGAAAAAGAGGGAUGGGGGAGGAGAACACCACUCACUGAAGCUAAAGUUCCUGAGGGAUUUUUGAUUUAGAGAGAGCACAUUUUAUGUUGGUUAAAUUGUAGCAAUAGUCCCUGGACUAAGACUAAACUUUACUUUUCAUCCCUCCUAUUGCUAAAUUGUUACGAUGGUACUUUAAUUAUGCCUCUAAUUUCAGAAAUCGUCCUUUUCGUCAGCUUAGUCAACUUUUCCGUUAAAAAUGAUGACAUGGCAUGGGCAAAAAUGUCUUUUCACACAAAAAUUUAAAAAAUAAAUCUCAUCUCAUCUCAUCUCUCUCUCUCUUCUAAUUUCUUCUCUCUUCCCUCCCCCCCCCCCAACCCCCCUCUCUGCAAAAUUCAGAUGGUCCUUGAUUUACAAAGUUUAAUAUUAAAAUAAAAAUCCUUCCAUUUAUUUGAAGGAGGAGGAAAUAGGUUUUAGAAUUAUAGGGUUCAGAUCCUCUCUCUCUUCCCCUCCCCCAUAUCUUCUCCUCUACUUUCUUACAUAGGAGGGUGUCAAAGUAGAGUAAGAUUUUACACAAGAUACCUUCAGAAACAUUUACACAAAUAUUAAAAUAAUAAUAAUGCAAUAUGACUCCAAUCUCCAAAUUCACCAAAUCUAGUGUACAUAUCAAUCAAUGCAUUACCAAUAUACAAGUCUGAGCCAAAACCCAUUUUUUAACAGAAAAGUUGACUGAGAUGACAGAAAGGACGAUUUCUAAAAAUAGAGGCAUAAUUAAAGUACCACCGUAACAAUUUAGUAAUAUGAGGGACGAAAAGUAAAGUUUGGUCUUAGUCCAAGGACCAUUGCUACAAUUUUGCCUUUCAUGUUAAAACGGAACCAAACUAUUUCUUUAAACGGUUGCUUAAUGUUUUUAGGGGUAAUAUGUAGUUUUGCCCUAUGAAGUAUAGCAUAAUUAUCAAUUUACCCCCAAAACUUUUUUAUUUAUUUGGUAAAUUAAGGACCUAAACUAUAUAAAAAAGGUCAAUUUGGGAAUUGCCAUUAAAUUUUUGGAUGUUCUAUCCAAAUUUCGAUCACAUGACCAACACAUGGUUAGUUUUUUAGGAUUUUUUUUUUGGUUGGAAGAAAAAAAAAAGGUUAAGGGUAAAGUUGGAAGAAAACAAAAGAGUUAAGGGUAACCACCCAGACCAUCAUCUUCCCUAGCUCAACCACAUACCAUCCCCACAGCCCCACUCGAAGGCCUUGCACCCAAAAUUCCUUAUUUAUUCUUCUUUUAAUUUUUUUAAUUUAAUGAUUUUUCAAUUUUAAAAAUGACACUAAUCUAUCUAUAUAUAAAAAGUAAAAAGUAGAGAAUGGUGAAACAUUCAAAAUGCCAGAAAAUGCCCUUGGUUAAUUCAAACAUUAAGAAUUUAAAUUAUUAAUUAAAUGAGGAUAAUAUGGUAAAUUCACAUUUUUUUUCAUAUAUAAAAAAUUAAAAUUAAAAAUAAAAUAUCAAAUAAUAUGUCCUAUUUUUAUGGAACAUAACUAUCCACGUUAUCUUUUUUUAAUUAUAAAAAUAAAAUAAAAAAGAAAAAAGAAAACCAACGCAUGUGCUAAGAGGCUAGUGAGAAAGAAAGAGAGAAAUGGAUGGGUUGGGAGGGGACGGUGAUGAGAGGAGAUGGGGAACAGGCUGUUGGGUUGGGUACAAUACAAGAGGGGCUAGGUUUUUUUGUUUGUUUUUGUUUUUCUCUCUCUCUCUCUCUUUCUCUGUUUUUUCUCUAUUUUUUGCUAUUAUUUAAUAAUUUUUUCCUUCAAAAUUACGAAUUUACCCCAAAAAAUCUGUCAUAUUUCCUCACCCACCUUAUCUUCUCACCCAUCAUGUAAAUUUGAAAAAAUAUAAUCCUAUCUUUCCGCCUUAUUCUUAAAAUACCCUUUAAUUAUUAGUUCAAAAAAAUUCUCUUUGCUAAUCUAUUAGGAAUCCGGAUCCUUUGUUUUGGUUUAUCUCAUAAUUAAAACAUACAAAUAUAUUUUUCUUAAAAAACAUAAAUUAAAAAUAAAAAUUAUUCUUAAAUAAACGCCAAGUUUAAUGUCUUUCUUCCUCUUACUUGUUCUUCUUCCUUUCUCUGCAAGUGAAUCUGUCUCUUGAAUCCAAAAAUUCCCUCUCCCAUUCAUUAAUAUUGGGGAGAUAUAUUUUCUUUAUGUUUUAUUACCCCCCACCCAAAAGCAACCCUUCACCACUGUACUAACAUGGGUUUGAUUUUGAAUAAUAUUUUGACAGACUGAAAUCGGACACUUUAGCUACCCAAGUCUCGCCCAAUAGAAGGUUUGUGGUUUUCAUAUCUCUAUGGAUGAUGGUGCACCUGGCACCAGUAUGAAGAUAAUGUAAUCCUCUAGCAGCUCCAAUGCAAAUUUCCAACCUUUGCUUCUAUGGGAGGUUGGUUGCUCUUGUACAGGUGUUCCUUUAGAGUCCCAUUAGCCAUGUAAUCAUAAACAAGAACCAUCUCACCGUCUUCUUCACAAAAGCCAAUCAAAGAGACUAAAUGCCUAUGUCUAAGCUUUGAAAGCAUCUCAAUUUCAGUUUGGAAUUCAUGAACUCUUUGUUCAAAAAAAAGAAAAAAGAACUAUAUAUAGAAAUAGAACAUUCUCCCCAAAAUUCCCUCUCUCAUUCAUUAUUUCGUGUCGCUUUAUUUAAUUAACUAAUUUUUUUUCUUUUUUAAUUCUUAUGAAAUUGUGUUUUUAUUUUAGGGUUGAGGUUUGUUCUUUAAGUCCUUAAAAGUCAUUUUACAAAGGGGUUUAUAUGCCCAUAAAAUUUUGAAGAUAAAGUGAAUGAAAAAAUAGUACAAAUGGAUGAAAAUAGUAGCUCUCUUCCUUAAUUUACCCAAAACAAACCUUAAGGAUAAUUUAACAAUUAUGAUAGAAUUUUGAGCAAAACCGCAGAUUAGACUUUUUUUAGAGUACAGAUUAGGGGUGGGAACUCAAACCGGCGAACCGGAAAUCCGAGCCGAACCGCACCGAAUCAAACCGAAAAAAAACCGAGUUGACCAAAAGGUCAAAAACCGAACCGGACCGGUUUGGACCAGUUUCGGAUCCGGUUCCAUGUCUUCAAAAACCGAACCGGGCCGAAUCGAACCAGUGAAACUAAAAAAAUAUAUAAUUUCAAUAUAUAUUUAUAUUUAAUGCUAUAUUUUUAAUUUCACUAAAAAAAACCUAAUAUUUAUCCAAGUUCAAUGUCAAAAUAUCUCUCUUUUCUCACUUUAAUUUUAUUUUUUAUAUGAAAUUGAAUAAUUUGUUAAUUUUCAAAUAAAAAAAUAAUAUUUCAGUUGAGAAUUGUAUUAAAAAAUAAUUUAAAAAAAUAAUUUUUAUAAUCCGGUUCAAAACCGAACCGGAACCGGACCGAAACCGGUUCAAACCGAACCGGACAGUUUUUGAAAUUUUUUUUAUUAAAAUCGAACCGAACCAAACCGAAUGAAUAGUACCGGAUCGAUUCUAAUUUUAGGCAAAAACCGGUCCAAACCGAACCGUGCCAUAAUUUCCGGAUCCCCAAAAUCAGGUACUACACCUGAACGCCAAAUAGAUCAUAAACGUCAAGGCUUAAGCUGAUUCAGUGGUGGGCCACCCAUCCAAUCGACCUAUACCCUCACCGUCACCAUAAACCACGACACAUACCCAAACAAGCCUAGCCUUACGUGUCAACCGCGCACUGACACCGCUACUCAUCGUCCGCCACGUGUCCUCUUUCCCUCCCAGCUCUCUUUCUCUACCGUAGAAAACAAAACGACAACAACAGUAACAAGCCACCUCCACCCCCAAUCUCACCCAACUACAUGUCUUAAGCCUUAAGGAAAGGUUCCUCUCCCACUGCCAGUUCCUCUCCUCCACGUGUCAAAGCGGCAAGGCGGCAAAGCGCGUUAGCCAAAAGUCUGGAACUUUCACGCGAAGCGCCAUCGCACCGUCCAGACUCGUCGGCUCAUGAGCAUCCCGAGCGAUCGUAGCCGUCACAUUUUCGGCCGCGAAGCCCGCUGCCACGUGGAGUGAAGGACACGUGUCGGAGAGAUAGCGGAUCAGAAAAGAUUAUUUAAAUCUUAUCCAAACCCAGUUCCAAACCAAGCUCUUUCGUUUCUAUAAAUGCAGGAGCUUCACAAUCCUACCUUUUCCCACACAAAAUUUUCAAAUCCAAAAAAGAUCUGAAAAACAAAAGCUACUGUGACUUAACUGAGAAUCUGAAUCUCCAAAGAGCAAAAAAAUUCACACGCAGAGCAAGGGAAAAGGCAGAGGUCCAAAAUACAGCUUUUUCUCCUCUUUAAUUUAUUUCCUCCCACUUUUUAGGCUUAUUUUCUGUUUGGCUUCGGGAAUGGCGUUGAACCUAACGCACCAGAUCGGAGCACUCGCCGGAGCAUCGAUUUCGACGACAGAUACGAACUCAUCCUCCGCUGAUUCGGUGAGCGCAUCGCCGAAGUGGAGGUCGUCGACGCCGAGCCUGACGUGCAAAAUCCAGAGGCCGGACGCGAUCGACGGAUUGUCGCCGCCGUUGAGCCCUUGCCGGUCGCCUCUCGGGUCGACCCGGCCCGAUCUGUCAGUGGCGUGCCAGGCUUUCGCGACGGAGAUAGAAUCUCCGGUUCUGGAACACCAGGUGAGGGGUGCGCAGAAUAAGGGGACGGGGGUGCCGGUUUACGUGAUGAUGCCGUUGGAUAGCGUGACGAUGAACAACUCUGUGAAUCGGAAGAAGGCGAUGAACGCGAGUCUUCAGGCGUUGAAGAGCGCCGGAGUGGAGGGUGUGAUGAUGGAUGUGUGGUGGGGUUUGGUGGAGAGGGAAGCGCCCGGCGGGUACAAUUGGGGCGGGUACGCGGAGCUUCUCGAGAUGGCGAAGAAGCAUGGCCUCAAAGUCCAGGCUGUGAUGUCGUUUCACAAGUGUGGCGGCAACGUCGGGGACUCUGUCACGUGAGUCUCUCUCUCUCUCUCUCUCUCUCUCUCUCUCUCUCUCUCUCAUAUGUCAUUUUCAGUGUUCAUUGUUUUCACGUUUUUCUGAUUCUCUCUCUCCCCCCCUCACUCUCUCAUGUCAUUUCCAGUGUUCAUUGUUUUCACGUUUUUCUGACUCACUCUCUCAUGUCAUUUCCAGUGUUCAUUGUUUUCACGUUUUUCUGACUCUCUCUCUCAUGUCAUUUCCAGUGUUCAUUGUUUUCACGUUUUUCUGAUUGGUUUUAAUUUUUUCUUUCACGUGCGACUUUGGAGCGUGGGUGCACGCUCUUGUGUGAACCAAAGUACAUUAGCUUUUGUCUGAAUUUGGCUGAAUAGAUUUUUCUGGAAGUUACUUUACUUGAGCAGUACAUCUAGGCCUGGCUUAACAACAUAUUUGGAAAAGUGGAUGUAUACCAGUUAGAAAAGUAACUGUUGGGUCUUAAAUUUGUCAUUAUUUUUUGCAAUUGGGGAUAGUGAAACUGUAAAGUUCUCAUGAUUAGGUAUUGAUAAACUGUGAUUAAAGUUAAGAAACAUCAUAACCAAUAUGAUCAUAUGCCAUCCAUCUUUAGUGAAAGCUGUAGUUUGGAUUGGGGUUGUUAAAAUUGCGUUCAUUGGAUUUGUUACAAAAAAUAUAGAUUAGGUUUUUCUUUUAUACCAUUACCAAAAGAGAGGUCUUAUUUUCUAUUGAUAAUGGCAUCUAUAGCAACAUUGCACUUGAACAUUACAUUGUUGUAUGGGAUUUUGGAGAUUUGUGGCGCUUUGGUGAAUAGUCUAUUUUUGUUGAACACAGUAUUCCUUUACCCAAGUGGGUUGUGGAGGAGGUUGAUAAGGAUCCAGACCUUGCAUACACUGAUCAAUGGGGAAGGAGAAACUGCGAGUAUUUAUCACUUGGCGCUGAUACCCUCCCGGUCCUUAAGGGCAGGACACCCGUGCAGUGUUACGCCGAUUUCAUGCGUGCCUUCAGAGACAACUUCAAACAUUUCCUUGGUGACACCAUUGUGGUAAUACUUCUGGCUUUUUAUUCUUACUAGUUGAAUUCAGUUGGGUGCUUAGGAGUUUCAUAGUUGGUUGAUUGUGACUUCAAUUUUCUGAUAGAGUUUAUUGUGCUAUUGAAACUAUCCCACUAUAUAAAACUUAAUAAUAAUCGUGUCUCUUGUUAAAGCAUCUCCUCUUGUUAAAGAAUCGAUUGCAUGUGCCUGAAAGAUGGACGCAUAAACUGUUUACACUGAACCAACAGUGCAAGAGCAUGUUGGUUCAUAGCAAUUGCCUUAGGAAGAAGUGUUUCUAACGUGUCUUUAUUGGUUUGCUGCACUUUGAACCUUGACGUUGACUUAACUUUGAACCUUGAAGUGCUUGAAUAACUUGUUUGUUCUUACCUUUGUGGUAAUGUGCUAUCAGAUGCUUAGGAUAAACUCAUCCUCUGGCACAUGCUGAAAAAACAUAUUGCUACAAGUUCACUUAAAAGGAAUGUUAAACAGAAAAAGAAAACUGAAAGCUCUGGUGGUUAAGAAUGGCUUUUAUUGUUCGUUAAGACUAUGCAUGUGUCUGCAACCGUAUUCAAUCUUUAGUUUUGUAACAUUUGAACAUGCUGCCACAUGCCUUUCCUGUUUGUUAAUUUUCAAUAUUCCUAAUUCAGGAAAUCCAAGUUGGAAUGGGGCCAGCAGGUGAGCUUCGUUACCCUUCAUAUCCGGAGCAGAAUGGGACAUGGAGGUUUCCCGGAAUUGGUGCCUUCCAAUGUUUUGACAAGGUGUUUAACUCUCUCUCUCUCUCUGUCUCUGCUUGUAGCUUUUUGUUUCCUAGAACAUGACUAAUAUAUGUAACAUGAUGCAGUAUAUGCUCAGUGGUUUAAAAGCUGCUGCUGAAGCUGCUGGCAAGCCAGAAUGGGGAAGCACAGGCCCCACUGAUGCCGGUGAAUAUAAUAAAUGGCCAGAAGAUACCCCAUUUUUCAGAAAAGAUGGUGGAGGCUGGAACAGUACUUAUGGUGAAUUUUUCCUCGGCUGGUAUUCUCAGAUGCUCCUGGACCAUGGUGAGAGGAUCCUUACCUCAGCCAAGUCUAUCUUUGAGAAUCACGGUGUGAAGAUCUCAGUAAAGAUUGCAGGCAUCCACUGGCAUUACGGAACCCGGUCCCAUGCCCCUGAGCUGACAGCAGGGUAUUACAACACACGAUUCCGGGAUGGUUACAUUCCUAUUGCUCAAAUGUUAGCGCGCCAUGGUGCAAUAUUCAAUUUCACUUGCAUUGAGAUGCGUGACCACGAGCAGCCACAGGAGGCUCAAUGUUUACCAGAGAAGCUUGUUAGGCAAGUGGCUAUGGCGACUCUGAAAGCAAACGUACCACUCGCAGGUGAAAAUGCAUUGCCAAGGUACGAU
rnacentral:lncRNA from 1 species